ACCAAAACAAAAGGUUGGUGGCGACUCCACAGCUGGUUUUGAAAAGUUGAUCCCCAUUUUUUCUAACUCUAAAAAAUGGUUUCGAUACAUCAUGAAGGUUAAAGUAAAAAAUAGCAACUACAUACUACAUUUAGGCUAUCUUAAAGAGAUGUCUCAACUAUUGUCUAAAGGUUGAUGUUUGAACCAGAGAUAAAACAUAGUGAUGCAGUUCAAAGAAAUGUUUAAACACAAGGAGAAACUUCAAAUGUAAGACAACUAAGAGUCUCAACAAUAUUGUGUUGUAUUAUAUAUUAUAUUAUGUGAUAUUAGUUCAAUCUAUUUAAAUAUUAGAUAUGAAAACUGUUAGCUCGAUUAAUCAAACCGAAAUUGUCAAGAAGGGAGGUGCAUUGACUUUUAAAAAAUUUGGUAAAACCAAGGAAAGAAAAUGAAACAAUGAACACAAAGAUUUAGAAUAGUUUAACCCCAAUUGCCUAUUCCAAUAACUUAGCUUUUCACAAUUAAUGAUUUCUUAAAUUCACUAAUUUUUUCAACCUUUGAGGACAAGGUUUAACCUUACAACACUCUUAAGAUUUCUACCCUAAAUUUUAAGAUAAACCCUCUCAAAGAAUUACAAAGAAGAGGACAAAGAGAUAAUCCUAACAAAAUCAGAAUGUUUGCAAAUUAAGCAUGAUGUGAACAAAUCGCGAUAAGUUUUAUAUUAAUGAAUGAUCGUACUUGAAAACUAACUAUUAUCACGAUAAAUGCAAGCGCACCUAUCGAACAGUAGUAUAGUUUAUAGCAAGACCGGAAUGUCAAACCCACAGGAACUAAAAGUACUAGUAUUAACUUUCUUUUGAUUAUCUAGUCUAAAAUAAAUGGGUUGUUUUAUCUAAACUAAUUAACUAAACUAAGAAUGCACAGGAAGUAAGUUGGGGAAAUACUUUGGAAAAACUGAUUGACUUAGACAAUACUCAAGGAAAAAACCACCUAGACUUCACUUGUUAUUUAACUCUGAACUAGACGUUUAUUCACUUGACUUGAUCCGUAGAAAUCCCUAAUUUAUAUUAUUAUCUCUCUCGAGACUAAUAACUUCUAACCCUAGGUUGAUUAAUUGAAAUCUCUUUCUAAUUAAAACCCCUAGUGUUGCAUUAACUUGAUCUAUGGAUUCCCUUAUUAGGUUUCACCCUAAUCCGACAAAAUUAUGUCGCCCUAUGUCUAGGGGUGCAAUUAACUCCGCUUAAUUAUGCUAGAUUUACUCUUAGAUAGGGACUUUUGCUCCUCUGAAUAAGCACAUCAAUACUUGAAUUAAUAUCCUGGAAUAUUAAAGCAAGAAUUAAGAACACAUAAUUAAGAACAAAUCAAAUAUUUACCAUAUAAUUUAGAAAAUAAUAACAAGAUCCGUCUUAGGUUUCAUUCCCCUUAGGUAUUUAGGGGAUUUAGUUCAUAUUUGUAAAAGACAACAUCUCAAAAGAAUAAUAAUAACAAAACAUAAAGAAAACCCAAAAACUCCUAAGGAAAAUUGAAGGGAGAUCUUCAGUCUUGAAGGAGAAUCAGGCUUUUGAGAUGGAUCAAUCGGCUUUCUUCGACUAAUUCAUUGCCUCCUACUCUGUGUGUCCCUUAAUUGCUUCCUCUGGGGUGUUAAUAUAGGCUUUAGAAUGCCUAAGAACCCUCCAAAGUGGCCUUUUCCGAAUAGAACUAAACUUGGGCUCGACAGGGACACGCUUGUGUGACACGCCCGUGUGCAAUUGCUUCAAACCGUGUUAAAGGCUGUUGAAUAGACAUGGGCGUGUGGUCUACCUGUGUAAAGAAGUCCAGGCCGUGUUAAAGUCUGCCAAAACUACACGGGCAUGUGGUCUACCCGUGUACGGAAGUCUAGGCCGUGUCGAUUUCUCAUGUUGACCCAUUUUCUUCGUUUUUGGCUCGUUUCUCGCUCUUUUUAAUUUCCUGUGCUCACCUAAGUAUAAAAUAUGAAAUUAAAGGAUUAAGAGCAUCGAAUUCUCCAAAUCUAAGGAUAAUUUAUCAAAAAAUCUACUAAGCAUGGGAUAAAAAUAUGUAUAAAUUACAAUUUAUCAAAUAACCCCACACUUAAGCGUUUGCUUAUCCUCAAGCAAAAUCCUCAACUCACAAUUAAAAUAAAUUCUUCUCAAUUUACAAUUCUCAUCAAUAAUAUCUCAAAAUAAACCAUAAGUAAUCAUACAUUGAGAAUUCAACUAAAAGAACAUCAAAGCUUCAAACAUUCCAAGUUAAGCAUUUUAUCACGAAAAUAUUAGGUGUCUUCCCUUAUCUAAGUAAUCACCUUUAAUUCAAAAUAUCACAGAAUUUAACAUCCUCACUAAAGAUUCACUCAAAUCACUCGAGGUGUUUAAGGACAACAAAUUUAGCACUCAUUAGUCAAAAUGAAAAGUUAUUACCAUAGGCUUGCGUGAAAAUCAAAUCUCCACCACUAUAUAUUGAGAUGAUACAUCAAUCAAAAGGUCUUUAAAGGGUUGUAACGUGGCUUUGGUUAAAGGGUGUGGUCACAAGCUGAAAAAGAAGGUUAGAAUCGAGAUUGAAUUGAAAAAUUACCUAACUAGAAAAAUACUACAAUUGACAAAUUACAUUCCUCAUGAGCUUUUCUUCAUGGAUAACAUCGUUUUAAUCUAAGCAUUACAUAAUUUCAUAAUAAUAAUAAUAUUUUUUUAAGAACAAAUCAAAUAUUAUAGAAUAAAACAUAGUUAAGCAAUUUAUUCAAAUCAAAUCUCGACAAAAAUAGAGAUUAAAUUAAUUGAGGGGAUUUUAACAAUAAUGGGUUAUGGGUUAAUAUAGAGGGUAAAUCAAUAAAUAGUUUGUUAAGCUCAAGGGGGUUCACUAAGGGUUAAUUAUGAAGGUAAGCUUUUAUGGAGUGAGUGGGUUAAUCCUAAGUGCCUUUAUCAUCUCAACAUAUCAAAUCAAAUGGAAUGGUUUUGACAUGCAUAAUCAAUGCAAGUUCUAAAAUAACAAAUCAAUAUUGACGCACUCAAAGCAACAAGAAAAGUGAGUAUGAAAGAAAUAAUAUAUGCUCUAAAGCUUAAGAUCUCACAAGAAUUAUUACUUUUUGAUGUUAAACCUGUGAAUUUCAACUCGAGAUAAUACCUAAACUUGGGGAAACAACCUAAAAAAAAUUUAAUUCUCAAAAAUCAACUUAUCGUGUUUGAUUCUCUAAUUUCUUAAAUUCUGAACAAUUAAUGUAUAAAUGCCUAUGUUUUAAUUCAAGACAUAUCAAUAAAAAUCAUAAAUUAAUCAAAAUUCAUUCUAAUCGUGACAUGAGUGAGUCACAUGAGAAUAAGACAAAAUUCAGGAAUUUUUCUGAUAAUGAUAUAGAUAAACCCCCCACACUUAAGAUGUACAUUACCCUCAAUGUACAAGGAUGUAUAGUAAUAUAAAGAUAAUAUAAAAAAAAGAGAGAGAGAAAGAAAUGAAACUUCCUGAAUGUUAAAUGGAAUCAUUGAAUUGGAGGUAUAGAAAGUGGAGAAAGAUACUCCGGUGGUGAUAAAGGUUGGGUUCCACAACCACAGUGUCCAGCGAAUAGGUUAUCGUGGUGGUUGUAAUGGGCCAAUUUAGCCUGGACCCUUAUAAGCAUAAAAUCAAAAUUAUUAUAAUAAAAAAAAUUAUGAUAGUCCAGUUUUAUAACAGUCCAAUUACAAAACUUGUGGCCCAACAACGAAUGCAACCCAAAAUCAUUACUUAGACCCAAAACCCAAACUUAAUACCCUAGCCCAAUAGGCCCAUCUCCUUAACAGUUCCAGAAACCCUAGGUCACCCCCCUUUGUUUUGCACCGCAGCUAAGAACAGGACAACUCCUCCGCUCCAGCAGCCACGCUCACACCUCCAUAUACCAGUACAGCCCUCGCACCGUACGACGCGCCAGCUCCAGUACACACGCCAAUGCACACCCUAUACCUGCAAAUAUAGAAAAAUGACAACAACAAAUACGAGCAAAAAUUGUAUUUUUUUAUUUUCUUUUUAUUUUUCUAUCUCUUCGGCUAUAAAGCCAAGAGUUUUCCUCAUUUUGUAAGGUUACAGACAGAUAUUACGCACAUACAACAAAGAAAUAGAAAAGCAGAAAUUACAAAUCAAGAGGUGAUUUUCAAGUCUAUUUAUUCUUUUGUUUCUCUCCUCAUUUUUCUUGCGAUUUUAACAUAAAAGAAAGAAGCAUUUGAAAUGACACCGAUGAACACCCAAGUAUCUCGAAAAUAAGGAGAUUGGGUAAGGGUCGAACAUUUUUUUUGAAUUCUUGCUUGGUUUUUUCGAAAUAGUGAAUUACGAUUUGAAGAUUUUUUUUAAAAAAAAAAAGAAAGGGAAAGAAGUGGCUCACCAGAUCUCUGUGGUUGCGACCUCUGUCGGCAAAGUCUGGUGGUUCGCGCCGUUGGACAUUGAACUAAUGGUGGUCUGGCGGCUACAUGUUAAGCCAAACCCUAACAGAACUGGAUUAAGGUUAAAAGGGUUAUUAGUGUUUUGAAGGUAAAAUAAAUGGAAAUGGGGAUUUUAAUACCAGUUUUAUGAAACGGUGCCAUUUAAAGAGGGUGGAUCCGCGCGUUGACCCGAUCCGAGGGUCGAAUCCGCACUCUUUCGUUCCAGAUGGGUAUUUUGCGCAGAUAAUCCAUCCCCUUUGCCCCCACUUUUGAUUGGCUCCUGAUUUCAUUUUAUUUAUUUUUAGAUUCUUCCUAAAGUUUGGAUAUGUUUGCACUUUGGUCCAUGAUCAAGUGCUGCGUUUUGAGACCUGGGGUAUUUCCAGUUUUGGACCCUAAGCGUUCGCACGCAUUGCGCAUCGGUCCUUGCUUCAAUUUCAAUAAUUUAUUUUAUUCAUAAAUUGACUCCAUUAUUUUAGAUUUAUUUUUAAUUGAGUCAUCUAUACUUAUAAUGCAUUGUUUUUAAAAGAACUCAAUAAAUAUUUUUUUGCUGAAAUUACUUUAAUAAUUUUACCCCCUUUUUAUUUAUUUUAAAGUUCUAUAUUAUGUUAUUUUAGCAACUAACAUUUCGUUUAAAUAUUUUUUUUAUUUGUACAUGUCUUAUUUUAAGUGAGUUUUUGGACUAGUAAUAUUUAUUAUUUUAAGGUUUCUAACAUUUUUAUAUAUGUGUAUAUGUGUUAAGCUAUUAUAAUAACUCUAUUUUGUUUUUGUAAAAUCAUCUUUAAAUUCUUUAGCAUAUUAUUUCAACAUUCUAUAUGAUAUUUUAUUCAAAUGUUUUACAUCUAUAUGAAUAUAUAUUAUUCAUAGUGAAACUAGCUUGAUCCCAUAUACAUAUCGAAUUUCUUUUUUUUCAUUUUGUUGUUUUUUUUUAUUACUUAUAUAUAUGUUUUUAAAUCUAUUGUGUAUAUAACUUAUCUUUUAAAAUUAUACGUUGUCGUAUACCUUUGCAUGCCUUUUUAUAUAUUCCAUUCGUUAUUUGAACUUAUCUUUAUUCGUACAUAUUGUCAAUUGUAAAUAAAUGUAUUUUUCCCAAAUCAUUUUGCAUAUUAUUUGAUUCAAGUGUCUUCAUUUUGUAGCAUCUAUUUUAAAAUUAUUUAUAUAUUCUUAGUUUUUACAAAUUAUCUUGAAUUCUAAGAUGUGUUGUUUGCUCAUCAAUGCAACAUUCCUUAAUUAGAAGUUUUUUUUUUGUAUCAUAUUAAUUUUAUAUUGUUUGAUAUCUCAUGGGUUAAUUUUUUUUAUAUAUUAUUUCAUGUGUAUUAUGUCAAUUAUUCUCUAUGCAUGCUUGAACAUCGAGUUAUAAUUUUUAGAUUAAUCAUAGUUAAUUGUUUUGUCAGUUGAUUGAAUAAAGUAUAUUAUUUUCAUUCAUCCAUUAUUGUAUUUUAUGCAUACAUAUAUUAUCCCAUGCUUUUUUUGGUUUACAAAAUGUUGUUUCAUAAGGCCCAACCUUUUUUAAUUAAUUAUUCCAUCUUGCUUGAAGUAAAAUUAAUACGUUCUGAGCUAGUUUUAUAAUUAUUCAUUUUGAAAAUUCACUAAAACAAAGGCGAUACUCGAUGUUUGGCAAUUCAGGAAUCGUGCCCUAUCGUGCUGGGUUGCGAUUUCCUGUUUGUUCAAAACAAUCGAAUAUUCCUAUGGAAUUUCACUCAUGUCUUUAAAAAUUAUUUAAAAUGAAGGUGAUGUUCGAUAUUUGGCAAUUCGCGGAAUCGUGCCCUAACGUGCUGGGUUGCAAUUUCUCGUUUGCUCAAAAUAAUCUAAUAUUCAUUUAGAAUUUCAUUCAUGUUUUCUAAAAACUCUUUAAAACGAAGGAAAUGUUCGAUGUUUGACAAUUCGGGGAGUCGUGCCCUAUCGUGCUGGAUUACAAUUUCUCGUUUGUUCAAAAUAAUCGAAUAUCCCUUUAGAAUUUCGCUCAUGUCUUUAAAAACUCUUUAAAGCGAAGGCAAUAUUCGAUGUUUGGAAAUUCGGGGAAUAGUGCCCUAUCGUGCUGGGUUUCGAUUUCCCGUUUGUUCAAAAUAAUCAAAUAUUCCUUUGAAAUUUUACUCGUGUUUUCUAAGGCGAGGCAAUGUUCAAUGUUUGAAAAUUCGAGGAAUCGUGCCCUACUCUGCUGGGUUUCGAUUUUUUGUUGGACUAAAUAAUUGGGCAUCCUUUUGUAAUUUUCCAAUUAUAAACUUUUGGAAGUCGAAAUUUAUUGUGUUUUCGAGGGUAUAAAGGAUCGUGUCCUAUCGUGCUGGAUGUGAUGCUAUAUUCCUCUAAAACAAGAAGAUUUUGACGACCAACUUGGGUUAUUCAAAUGUUAUUAAAAGGAACCACAUUUCAAAAACAUUUUUAAAUUUUAGACAUAAGGACAGAAUAUAAUUGAUUUGGUACCAAUUUUGGGCAUAAUAAGGGUGCUAGUCCUUCCUCAUACGUAACCGACUCCUGAACUUAUUUUCUCAUAUUUUCGUAAGACCAAAAUCGUUAUUUUAGCAAAAAGAAAUAUUUUACUAAAAUAACCAAAUUUCUAGGUGAUCCGAUCACACCUAGACAAAAAAGGAUUGGUGGCGACUCCAUUUCCGUUUUUCAAAAAGUCGAUUCCCCGUUUUUCAUUAAAUUUAAAAUUUUGAAAGAUGGUUUCGACAGUGGUCGGGCAAGACAUGGCAGUCGUGAAGAACCUUUUCCAGUGGAGUUGCAAGUUCCUAAGUAAUAGUGAGCUUUGGAGCUCUUCAUAACUGCGAUAGAAUCAGUAACUUUUUAGGAAAUAUAAAGUAGCAGGAUUACUUGUAAAUAAGUGGCCAAAAACAUAAAUUGUUUAAUAUAAAUUGUAAAACCUAAAAAUGAAAUAGUAUUAAAGGGAAAUAAAAUAAAAAGUACUUUAAAAAGAUAAAUAAACAUAAAAGUAAUAAAUAAAGAAUCUUCAAAAAUCUUCAUCGCCAGAUGGUUCAUGAGGUGGGGGUGGCGAUGAGAUGUGAAGGUGCUGACAAAUCUGAUGUAAAGUCGCAUCAAUGUGAUCAAAGCGUUGAAAAAAUUACUGCUCGAAUCGAGUGAGACGCUCAGAUAUGUCAGAAAGUGAAGCCGCCGCAUGAACUGGACGAUGAAUAGGUGGUGGCUGAGAGGCUGGAUCCUCAUGAGGUGGAGGGACAUCAUCAGUAAUGUCCUCUAGGUCCUCCUUCUCGGCUGAUUGGACUAGGCGACACUGAGGAGGAUCAAAUCCACGUUGUCGCUUGACCAUCCUCAUAUGUAGCAUACUCGAGAUGCCUUAUGGGAACAUCUGACCAAUAAGAGUAAGGGAGGAUGCUUACGCCACCGUGUUGAGGAGAUCUAAGUACCGCGCUAGGCGAGUCACAUAAGGGCAAAUGGAAAUAACUCCCUUCUUAUAUAGCUCUGUCUAAUGGUGAAUGGCGAGGACGAUGAAAUAAGUGAGGUCGAAGACGUGCCCAUGCACCAUGCUCUAUAAAAAGUAGGCGUCGUUAAUAUUGAUGAUGCCGAUACUCUUUUGUUGCCCUGUCAGGGUGUGGGCUAGGAUGGCGUGUAAGUAUCGCAGGGAUGGGGCGAGAGCCGAUGCCUUAGAGCGGCUGGGGUCAUAAGUGGCCGAGGCAAGGACUAGGGCCUUCCAACAAUUUGAAGGAGAGUAGUGGAUGUGGCGAUGGAGGCUUUUGAAGUUGUCGUCAUCCAUGAACUCCUUCGUAUAUAGUCCCAGUGUGACUCCGAACUCAGGUACGCUCAACUGGCGAACUAAACUAUCGAGAUGGAAUUGGACCAUUUUAGGAUCAUCAAACUCUGUCAUAACAGCUUGAAGGUGGAAGGUCGAACAGAGUUCGAGUGUGAGCUCGACCUCGAUGAUCUCAAAGAAGAGCCCCCACGGGUCAGUAUUCAGGAGAGCCCGGACUGCGUCAGCCAGUUGGAUCUACUCCAGUAAGGCUCAAUCAAUGCAACGGCCCACACCUAAGGGUUGGGCCCGUAGUAUUUGGAAAAGUUCCUCCUGUGUUUUCGGUGGAAAUUGGAGAAAUGGGUGUUUGAUCUCGACAGUGGGACUUGAAGAGGAUGCUGCUCCUUUUUAUUUCUUUGAGGCAGGGACGACAGUCUUCUUGCCUUUUGGGUUCGUCAUUGUAUCUACAAUGAAAAGACAAAGUUCUAAAAAUAAUUCCCAAGAAAAGCAUGGAAAAAGUAUGCAAGCAUAUUAGAAUUAAAUAGAAAACUUCAUAAGGGUUACUGGCUAAAGGGGAAAUGUACUGAAAAAUAACCAAAUCCUAAUAGAUAGACAUAUCAAAUCAUUAUUAGAAUUAGGAAUUCGAGAAUAAUGCUAACAAAAUACCUAGUGAAUAAAUGCAUAUGGGAAUGUUAAUAUGGAAUAUGGUAUGAAAUCCAUGGAAACACAAGAUUGAAUGAAUAUAUCAUAAUGCUUCAACUAAAAUGGAAAAUUUUUAAAUAAGAAAAAAGAGCAUAAGCAUGAUUAUCAUUAGAAUCAGUCAAAUAAAACAAGAAAUAACAAGAUAAUAGAGAGGAAAGAAUAGACAAAUGCAAUAGUGUAGAGGGAGAAUGUUGGUCGUCCGAGGAGUAAGUGAUGUGGGUCGGUUACGAGCGUGGGCAGUGAGGCCGUGUGGUGCAAAAAAGUGAGAAGAGGGGAGAGGAGAGAGAGAGUGAGGAGAAAAAUGGAAGAAUAAAGGUGAGUUAGGGGUGGCCGGUUGGUGGGGAGAGGAAUUUUAGCAGCUAAGGUUAGGGUUUUGGGGGAAGAGGAUGAUGAAUAGUGAGGGGUUUAUAUAGAUAUUGGGGCACACAACCAUGGGGCACGCUCGUGUACCCUUAUUUCAGCCUCUGUGUUUCGUGAUUUUCAAAUUUAGGUGUGUCUGAAAUUCACCCCACACCCGUGUUCGUUGGGCGUAUUGGUGCACACGGUCGUGUCGCACGACCGUGUCCUGCUUCGUUCGCUUCUCUCACGCCCGUGUAUGUAUGCGCACGCCUGUGUUAUUUUGACAGUCUUAAGCACGGGUGGUGGGCACGGGUGUGUCGCACGCCCGUGUUAAUUUUUCAGUUCACCAUGAUUUUUAGACACGGGCGUGUCGUACGCCCGUGUUAUUUUGACAGUUUUUCCCACGAUCAUGUCGCACGAUCGUGGCAAUGUAUCCAAUCCUGUGUUGGGGAAAAAUUUUACUCUAGUUUCACACGGCCGUGUCGCCUCCUGUGGUGUGAGAACGGCCUAAGGCACACCCAUGUGCCUAGCCGUGUGGAUUUGGAAAACCUGUGUUCAAUGACUCAGUUAGUGGUUUAUAUGUUAAUAACUAAAAUUUAAAGAAAUCAAUCAUCGUUAAUGCUCAGGUUGCCUCCCAAGAAGCGUUUAUGUAGAGUCCAAGCUCGACUUACCUCUCUGUUACGCGGUCAUAAUGGUGCGAGGAGUUUACACUCCUCAUUCUUGCUAUUAAUUUCAUCAAAAUAAGGUUUUAGAUAGGUACUAUUUACCUUAAAAGUGUCAAAUUUGGGAUGAAUUACCUUGACUAUACCGGAUGGGAAAAUGCUAAGUAUCGUAAGAGGGAUUGCUCCAUUAGGUUCAGAAGUGGCAAUACGAGGGUCUGUUGCAUCUAAUAAUACUUUAUCUCCAAACUUAAGUUGAUUUGGUGAAACAUUGAGUCUGUCAUGGCGUGGUUUAUCAUGUGUUCUCAAUUUUUGUGUCCACUAUUCAUCUAGUUCCUCGAUUUGUAGCCUUUGUUUUUCAUGGAUGGGUCUUUUGUUGUUACUUGAACAUGGCUCAUGUAUGCUUUUCGAACGUGUUUCCUACAAAGAAUGUUGUACCACAUGAUCAGUAUUAGUAGAAUUUCGAGCUUGAAGAGUAAUUGUUUUAUUCCCCACACGAAGUGUGAGUUCACCGGUACCAACAUCAAUAAUAGUUAUAGCAGUUGCUAAAAAGGGUCGUCCUAAAAUCAAAUGUACGUUACUAUCCUCUUCCAUGUCUAGAACAACAAAAUCAAUUGGGAAUAUAAAUUUAUUAAUUUUGACAAGUACAUCUUCAAUGAUACCCCUAGGAAAUCUAAUGGUUUUAUCGGCUAACUGAAUGCUCAUCCUAGUUUGUUUGGGUUUCCCAAGACCUAGUUGUUUAAACAUUUUAUAGGGCAUGACAUUAAUACUCGCCCCUAAAUUAGCCAAUGCAUUAUUAACAUCUAAGCUACCAAUUAAACAAGGAAUCGUAAAACUCUCUGGAUCUUUCAAUUUGGUGGCCAGCUUGUUCUGUAGAAUGGCUGAGCAAACUACAUUCAACUCCACAUGCUACGCCUCAUCCAACUUCCGCUUAUUUAUUAAAAACUCCUUUAAAAAUUUAACUGCAUUUGGCAUUUGUGAAAAAGCUUCAAUAAAUGGUAAGUUAAUAUGUAAUUUCUUUAAUAAUUUAAAGAAUUUACGAAAUUAUUCAUCCGUGUGGUCUUUCCUUGUCGCAUUAGGGUGUGGCACAUAAGGUUUGUACUCUUUACUUACCGGUUUCCACUCACUGUGGUCUACCUUACCUUUAUCUUUACUUACUACAAUUUUUUGCCUCGGUUCUGGUUUAGGUUCAACUAAUAUUUCCUCAUCUUGAAUGGUAAUCGCAUUGAGCUAUUCCCUUGGGUUAGAUUCAGUGUUACUCGGCAGGCUACCUUGUGGUCGUUCAGAAAUUAAUUUAGUGAGCUGUCCUAUCUGAGUUUCGAGCCCAUGGAUCGACACUUGUUGAUUCUUAAGUGCUGUUUCGGUAUUCUAAAAAUGAGUUUCUGACACCGAGAUAAACUUCGUUAGCAUCUCCUCAAGGUUCAGCUUCUUUUCUUGCUGGUAAGGUUGUUGUUAAAAACCUGGAGGAUGUUGUGGUUUUUAAUUUCCUUUACCACUCCAUGAAAAAUUGGGAUGGUUCCUCCAACCUGCAUUAUAAGUGUUACUGUAUGGGUUAUUUUGAGGUCUAAAAUUAUUGUUACCUAUAUAUUGGACUUGUUCCUCCUUGGUGUUAGGGUUGAAGGUUUGAUAUUCUGUCUGAACUCCUCCUCCAUUUGAAUCGCACCUCAUAACUGGAUGUACCUGAGUAGAACCACACAAACCACCAAUCUUUUUAUUUAAAAGUUUUACCUGGUUAGACAACAUAGUAACCGCAUUGAGGUUGAAAACACCUGCUACUUUUGUCGGCUUUGUUCUCAUAACUUGCCACUGAUAGUUAUUCAAUGACAUCUCUUUAAUGAAUUCGUAAGCCUCUUCAGGUGUUUUGUUAUUCAAAGUUCCACUGGCAGCUGGGUCGAUAAGUUACCUUGUUGAGGGGUUCGCACCGUUGUAAAACGUCUGAACUUGCAGCCAUAGAGGCAAUCCAUGGUGAGGGCAUAUUCUCAAUAGAUCAUUGUGUCUCUCCCAUGCAUCAUAGAGUGUUUCUAGUUCCAUCUGCACAAAAGAAGAGAUAUCAUUCCUUAACUUAGCCAUUUUAGCUGGUGAAAAAUAUUUAAGUAAAAAAUUUUCGGUCAUUUGUUCCCAAGUAGUGAUUGACCCUCGUGAUAAUGAGUUCAAGCACUGUUUAGUCUUAUUCCUUAAUGAAAAGGGAAAUAACCGAAGACGAAUGGCAUCAUCAGAAACGCCAUUGAUUUUAAACGUGUCGCAGAAUUUCAGAAAAUUCGCUAAGUGAGUAUUUGGAUCAUCAUCCUACAAACCAUCAAACUAAACAAACUGUUGUAUCAUUUGAACUGUGUUAGGUUUCAGUUCAAAAUUAUUUGCAACAAUAGCAGACCUAACUAUACUCGACUCAGUUCCUGUUAGGUUAGGUUUAGCAUAAUCAUACAUAGUGCGUGGAGUAGGAUUUUAAUUUAUUGGAUCAGUAGCAAUCGCAGGAGGUAGCGGAUUUUCUUGAUUUUUAGCCAUCUCCUCGGAUGUGGUUAGAAUAUCGUCUUCUUGCUCUUCCUUUAUGUCUCUUAGGCUUUGCCUUAUUUCUUUUUAGUUUCUGCGAGCUGUGUGUUUGAUCUCACUAUCAAAAAGUAGUGGUCCUGACGGGUUUCUUCUAGUCAUAAACUAUAAAAACCUGCCAGAAGUAAAUAAAAGAAAAUUUAGUAAUAUAAACAAAAAUAAAAUUUAAAUUUAAAUUGCAAUAAAAUAAAUGGCUAAAGUAAUAAAAAUUGAGUGUUCCUAAUAUCUUAGUUCCCCGGCAAUGGCGCCAAAAACUUGAUGUGAACAAAUCGCGAUAAGUUUUAUAUUAAUGAAUGAUCGUACUUGAAAACUAACUAUUAUUACGAUAAAGGCAAGCGCACCUAUCGAACAGUAGUAUAGUUUAUAGCAAGACCGGAAUGUCGAACCCACAGGAACUAAAAGUACUAGUAUUAACUUUCUUUUUAUUAUCUAGCCUAAAAUAAAAGGGUUGUUUUAUCUACACUAAUUAACUAAACUAAGAAUGCACAGGAAGUAAGUUGAGGAAAUACUUUGGGAAAACUGAUUGACUUAGACAAUACCCAAGGAAAAAUCCACCUAGACUUCACUUGUUAUUUAACUCUGAACUAGACGAUUUACUCACUUGACUUGAUCCGUAGAAAUCCCUAAUUUGUAUUAUUAUCUCUCUCGAGACUAACAAUGUCUAACCCUAGGUUGAUUAAUUGAAAUCUCUUUCUAAUUAAAACCCCUAGUGUUGCAUUAACUUGAUCUAUAGAUUCCCUUAUUAGGUUUCACCCUAAUCCGGCAAAAUUAUGUCGCCCUAUGUCUAAGGGUGCAAUCAACUCCACCUAAAUAUGCUAGAUUUACUCUUAGACAUGGACUUUUGCUCCUAUGAAUAAGCACAUCAAUACUUGAAUUAAUAUCCUGAAAUAUUAAAGUAAGAAUUACGAACACAUAAUUAAGAACAAAUCAAAUAUUUAUCAUAUAAUUCAGAAACUAUUAACAAGAUCUGUCUUAGGUUUCAUUCCUCUUAGGUACUUAGGGGAUUUAGUUUAAUUUGUAAAAGAUAACAUCUCAGAAUAAUAAUAAUAACAAAACAUAAAGAAAACCCAAAAACUCCUGAGGGAAAUUGAAGGGAGAUCUUCAGUCUUGAAGGAGAAUCCAACUUCUGAGAUGGAUCAAUCGACUUUCAUUGAGUAAUUCCUUGCCUCCUACUCCGUGUGUCCCUUAAUUACUUCCUCUGGGGUGUUAAUAUAGACUUUAGAAUGCCCAAGAACCCACCAAAGUGGCCUUUUUCCGAAUAGAACUAAACUUGGGCUCGAUAGGGACACGCCCGUGUGCGAUUGCUUCAAACCGUGUUAAAAGUUGUUGAAUAGACACAGGAGUGUGGUCUACCCGUGUGAAGAAGUCUAGGCCGUGUUAGAGUCUGCCAAAACUACACGGGUGUGUGGUCUACCUGUGUACGGAAGUCCAGGCCGUGUUGAUUUAUCACGUUGACCCAUUUUCUCCGUUUUUAGCCCGUUUCUCGCUCUUUUUACUUUCCUGUGCUCACCUAAGUAUAAAAUAUGAAAUUAAAGGAUUAGGAGCAUCGAAUUCACCAAAUCUAAGGAUAAUUCAUUAAAAAAUGUGCUAAGCAUGAGAUAAAAAUAUGUAUAAAUUAUGAUUUAUCAAAGCAUAAACAGAUAAGAAUACACUUAAGCAAAAGAAAGACAAUGAGCACACAAGUGUAUACAAGAGAAUUAUGAAAGUAUUGAAUACAAGUGUAUACAAUCUUAAAUAUUGUUUGUUGUUGUUGUAGGAACUUUAGAAGGUAAUAUUUAUACUCCCUAAUUGAUUUCCAACCAUUGAGGUUGUUGUGGUAGUUAAUAGAGCCAUUGGGGAUGUGAAAACCAGAGUACUUAAUACACCUGUAGUACUGAGUAUCGAUACUAGAUAAAAAUGUAUCGAUAUUUUUUGUAAUAAAUGCUAAAUUUAGUGACUAUUGGAGAUUAACUAUCAAUUCCAAUACAAUUUUAUCGAUACUUUAUGAAAUUGUAUCAAUACAGUAUCGAUACUUUAUAGGUUCUGAGAAAAACAUAAUGCCAUUUUGAUAUCAAUUUUCCAAUUGAAUAGAAUGUCAUCGGAGAUAUUUUAAUUUUAUGAAUUUUUAAUUAUUUAUUUAAUUUAAACUGGAUUGAUCAAUUAAAUCGAUCGAAUUUGAAUAUCGAUAACUUGAUCGAUUCAAUUACAAAUUAGAUUCAAUGCAAACGUAGUCAACUAUUAUAAUUAAAUAAAAUGCGUAGGUUUUGAAAUAAAACAAACUAAAUAGAAUUUAAAAGAAUAAAUAUAUAUCCUUAAAUCCAUACAAAUAUGUUUGACUAAGAAAAUCAAAUUGGAGCUAAAAUUAUUAAUGUGGUUGGGUUGAAUAAUAAAAAAUAUAAAAUUUUUAAAGAAAACAACGUUGUCAAUAAAAAGCUAAUUUAAUUUAACAUUAAAUUUAAUCAAAUUCAUAUUUAAAAAAAAUAUAAAAAUAGAAAAGACAAGGUUGCAAAGGGCAAUAGAAAUUGGGUAAGGAAGCAACUGAAAAAACUGUCAGAAGUGAUUUUGGUUUAUUAAAAAACAUGGGGCCUUUUAGUGGUUAGAAGGAAAAACCAGACACUGCAAAACCAUAAUAAUAAAGGAGGCAUACAAUGUUUAUUUGGCAUGUCAAUGAUUCAUCACUGCCCCACAAAUCAUGCCCACUCAACCCUACCAUCAACUUAUAAAAUAUUGUUUAAUUUCAUGAUUUUAUUAAUAAAAAAUUAAAAAGUAAUUUUAGACCAAAUCUAAGAUUCAUAACUUUUCUUUAACAAAAAUCGAGAAUUGGAAAUGAAUUCGGAUUAAUCUAAGUUUAUUUUUUUAUUUAAUUUUUAAUUAGUUUUAAUUUUGGUAUUAUAAAACAGUCUUUAUUUUUAAAUUAAUGAAAAAAAAUUCUACAAAACUAUAUUAUUUUAAAAUUUUAAAAAUUAAGAAAGUAACAUAUGAUAUUUGCAAUUUUGAUUUAAUUUUUUCAAGAAAUAAAAAUAUUAUAUAAAAUGGAAUCAUCAAAUUCCCAAAAUCACCUUCUCUAUUUCUUUCAAGAUUAGUGGCAUCGAGAUGAUCGUAUUUAAUACAUUAAUAAAAUAGUGUAUUGGAAAUAAGGCAAAGGCUAUUUUUUUCCCCCAAUAAGAUAACCCCAAAGAUUGAAUAAAUAACUUAGGUUGGUUUUAAUGAAAUCCAAUCAUACAACAAAAUCCACCUUUAAAAAUCCUAACAUAGAUUAUACCUAUCUAAGGUUAAUGAUUAGCCUAUUGGAUUCUUUUUCUUACUUUUGAUUAUCAUUAGCUUGCUCAACUUUUAAAUAAAUUUAAGUUAAAAGCAAAAAUAAAAGCUUUAUCUUCGAUUGAAUUUUAAUUCAAUUGGUAUUAAUAUUUUUAUUAAUGUAAGAGAAUACCAAUUCGAAUACGCUAAAAUACAUUAUUCUUCUAUUUAUAAAAUGAAAAAAUUAUUAAAUAAUUUUAAACAUUGUAUCAAACAUAACAAAUAUAAUCAGAACUUCUAAUGAAAUUGUUCAAAAAUAUAAUAUAUAUUGCUAACAAUUUCUCGAAAAAUAACCCACUAAUUCCAUUCCUUUCUCUACAACCUUUCAAGCUCCCAAAUUAUUUGAAUUUUGCUAUUCAAUUUUAAUUUAAAAUAACUUGAAGAUAAAAUUUAAUAAAAAUAUUUCUAUUUUAAUAUUUAACAAUAAUAAAUUUAAUUAUUAUAAUAUUAAAAUUCAAUAAAAAUGACUAUUAUAAAAAUAAACUUAUCUUUUCUUUUAUGAUAGAUGUAUUUUUAUAGUUAAAUAAACUCCAAAACCUAUAAAUUUUACUGAUGAAAUUCCUCCAUUCUAAUAUUAAAAUAAAAUUAUUUACAUAAAUUUGCAUUUUAAUGCCUACGUGAAUUUGAUAAAAAUGAUUUAUUAAACAAAAAUAAAAUAACAUUUUUUUAAAAGUACAACAAAAUAAUAUUUUUAUAAAAAAAAUAAAGUGAUUGUAUACAUAAGAAAGAAAACAACUUACCUACUAAAACAAUGCACAUAAUUCAAAUUUAUUCAAUUAAGAUAAUUUGUUUAAAGGGAUUCAAUCAAACAAUAUAUUAUUCACGAUUAAGGUUUAAUUUAAUUUUCAAAUACAAAUAAAAUGAACAAGACAAAGACUUGAUAUUUAAAUUAAAUUUUUAUUUAAUUUAAAAAUAAAAGUAAUUAAUUAUUAAAAUAAAAAAAUCAAACCACGUAAUGGGUGAUAUUACUAGUUAUUUGAUUAUAUAUAUAAAGGCAAGAGAGAUGGCCUUAAAAGGAACUGAAUAAUGUGCAAAAUCACAAUACUAUAUGGUUAUGCUUUAAACAUGUUCUUUGUGCAGUUUCAACUUUGUGAAUGUUUCGGUACCCAAAAAGAAAGCACCCAAUUACAUCAACAAGUUCAAAGUUUUAACCAAAAUAAUUAAAAACAUAUCCAGCACCAGACCACAUCAAAAGGCACCAAAUGAGCCCUAAAAAUCAACAUUGUUAAUAAUAAUAAUAAUAAUAAUAAUAAUAAUAAUAAUAAUAAUAAUAAAACCUUCUUACUUUCCAAAAAACAUACUAUUCAUAUGAUAUACAAAACCGGAAAUAGGAUGGCAAAAUAUUUAACAAGAAUUUCCAAAUAAACAUUUUUCUCCCUACUAAUUACUUUUUCUCUACUUCAAAUUCUCUACUUGUAGGACUAAGUAAUUCCCAUUUAUUAGAGUUAUAUUCUUAAGUAAUAUUUUGUCCACUCUCUUGCUGAUUUCAACAAGCUAAUAGCUCACUUAGUAAUCACAUUCACUAUCUCAAAUCAAAUUCAGCCUAUUGAAUAAAUCUAUCCUCACUUAGUAAUAGUUAUAUUUUCUGCACUUUCAUCUUGCUUCUUAUCAUAUGCAUGUUGCAAAAAUUUCUGUUCAGUAAGAUGAGAAAACCUUGUAAACCAUUAAAACAAGAUGUUGCAUGAAGACAGAAAGGAAGACUAAAAGGAACAAGUGCGGUGAUGAAGGCUGUACGUUCCCAAGACCAGUUAAAUCAUGAUGCUCGUACCAAUCGUACAGAAUUUCUUGAGAGCCAAACCUUCAUCUCUGGGACAACUUUAUAGCCUCUUCGAGUGAAGUUAAAAGGGCUGGGAAUUUAUUAGGAAAGCACUAAUAUGAAAGUAACACCAAUCAUGAGUAGUGAGAGAGACGGAGAUUAUUGAAAGUAAUUUUGGGGGGGGGAUGGAAGUCAAGUAGAAGUUACAACCUAAGUAAUAGUUUGGUCAUAGGUAGGCCUGCUCACAAGUCGAGCCUAGACAGGAUACUAACAUCUUUCACGUUUGGCUAGGCCCCUAACCCAGCACAAAAUAUGGGCAAUAUCAUUCGACUAGAACCAACCCUAAUUACCAAAAGCGAGCCAUUCUUGGCCCAACACAACCCACCCAAUUUCUUUUUCUAAUUUUAUUUAACUGGCAGUCAAGCUUUACUUUGUUUACUUAUUGUUCCAGGUUAUUAUAAUCCUUAUCAAUAAUGGCAUUUUUACGUGUGGUAUCCAUCACUGACAAAAGGACAUCAUUUUACUAAAUCUUCACUUGCCUAUAGGUAAUGACCUCGCUCUGAUAUUUUAGGCAGAAACAUUGUCAUAGUCUACCAACUUCCUAAGUAGGAAUUUAAGCCUUUGUUUAGAUCAGGAUUUUUUAUUUUCUUGUUGGAAAAAAAACUAGAAGCAACUAUUGGGGCCUGGGGGUAAGGCAAGACAGAACUUGAGUUCUAGUUCUCUAAAGGUGCUAGGAGCCUCGUACCAUUUAAAACAACAAAUAGAGCAGACAUUUUCACAGAAUGCAAAUCCAACGCCUGAUUCGUCUACUCCAUACCUUAGCAUUACUCAAGUUUUAUACAGGAAGUUCCAGGCUCACUAUCAAAUUCUUAGUGAUAAGAAGAGCAAACAAAAUGCAAUGACAGGAAGUAUUGGCAAAUGAAAAAUCCGUCAAUUUACAAGGAUGGGAAUAAUUAAGAUGUGGUAGUGAUGUGAAGGGCGCACUAACCUUCAUUUAGAGCAAACCAAAUGCAAUGGCAAGCAGCAUUGGCAAAUGAAUAAUUAUGAUGUAGUAGUGAUAUGAAUGGGGCUCUAACCUUCAUUCAGAACAAAAAUAUAUCACAAAUAUCUUUGGAUCGAUAUGGAACAGUGAUGGCAGAUUGAUGCUCUGCAGCUGCAUGAAUCCCUCCCUGCUCGUUGCACCACAUAUUAAAUCUUAAGUACUCAAAACUCAUAUCGAUAUGGUUGACCCAACCCAAAAUACAUUCAGCCAUUGCCCAAACGAAACAGAGUGCCACCCUGUGGUGGAGCCGCUGGAAAUUCUGAUGACUAUUUGACGGGCAAAUGUUUCCUAUCAAGCAAAUUAUACGCCUCCAAAGAACGGAACUUACCAGAAUAAUUAUAAAUGACAGUAUACAGGACAUCGUCCACGAUUGUCGCUAGGGGUGUUCAUUCGGUUAACCGACCGGUUAACCGACCCGAAAUUACUAUAACCGAAUUAACCGACCUUCCAAAAAUUUUAACCGUUAACCGAACCGAUUUUUUUUAAAAAAAAUUUAACCGAACCGAAAUUUUUUCGAUUAAUAAGGUCGGUUAACCGAAUUAACCGAAAAUUAUGUAUUUUUUAUUUUUGGUUAAAAAUUACCCGAAUUACCCGAAUUACCCGAAUUAACCGAAUUAACCGAAUUAACCGAAUUACCGAAAAAUACCCAAAUUUUUUUAUUUUUUAUUUUUAAAAUUUAAAAAAUUUAUAAAUUAUUAAAGUAAAUUGGGUUUUAGACUUUAGUAAAUUGGGUUGUCUUUUAGUUUUAGUUUUAGUUUUAUUGGAUUGGGUAAUUGGGUAAACUUUAGUUUUAGUUUUAUUGGGUUGGGUAAUUGAGUUUGGGUUGGGUUGGAUAAUUUUAUUUAUUAAUUUUUUCGGUUAACCGAAAAUUUUCGGUUAACCGACCGGUUUCGAACCGAAUUAACCGUUAACCGAAAAAUCAUAAAAAAAUUAACCGACCCCCGACCGAAAAAAUUCGGUUAACCGACCGAUUAAUCGAAUUCGGUCGGUUAACCGAAUUUUUUCGGUUUUACCCGAAUUAUGCACACCCCUAAUUGUCGCUGUGUCAGACCAGUAACAAAAUUUUUGUUCGAGGCAAACCUAUGAUUUACGAUCAUAGUGAUUAGCGUAAAGAGUAUCACUGGCAUGGCAGUGCACCAAAAUCCGAGAUCGGGAAGAAUCUAGAAUAGGAACACAUAUAUCGAUAGCUUCCGGAGGGGGCGACAAUGGUUCCCAAAAAUCCCCACUUAUAUCGUAAACCUCGCCAAAAGAUUCAGAAACCAAAUAUUGGAAGACGUAAAUCUUUCAUUCAGCAGCAAUAACCAGGGGAAAAACCCGAGGGAACAACAUAGAAGUAGUUUUUCUCCACCCACGUUCAAGGUCCUUUAAAUCUAAUUGGAAAACAUCGUUUACUCCAUCAUAACCACGAAAAUUAGCAUCAUUUUCGCGCAUUCCCCCAAUAACGUAAACGUGAUUGCCACAGGAAACGGCAGUGGAACAUGAAGGAGCAUCAGGUGGCAUCGCCUUAAUAAAGACUUUAUUGCUUUCCAGAUCAAUAAAGUGCAAACCGUGCGUUAUUUUACCACCGAUAUCCGGCCAUUUCUGGACGAGGGCCCUGACCAGUUCAUCUGGCUCUCUCCCAUCAAAGUAACUGGAGGAAUCACUAGUAUCGCCGCUCAUGGUUCCCCCUCAGCUUCGCCUUUCCAGAUCCAAAAUCGCUUUUAGUUUUGGGUUUCUAACUUCGGGUUAUUUCUUUUUUCUUUUUUCUUUUUUUUAAUUUGGUUUGGGUUUAAUAGUCAUUGAGAAAAAAAGAUUUAUAGUUAAAUAAAUUUGAUGACAAGUUAUUCAAUUAUCUGUUUCAAGAAGUAAAAGGUUGAUAAUUUUUUUUAAAAAAAAUUGUAAUUUGCUUGUUUUAGUUGUUAAUUUCCAAACUAAAGAUAUUCUCAAUAUGUGACUGUUUGUAAUUUAAAAUUAUUUAUUAAUUAUGAUUAUUUUUAAUGAAUAUAAAAUAUUAUUAUUUUGUAUCAAAUGUUAGAGAUUUGUUGAAAUUUGAUCAACCAUUGGAUUAAUUGAAUCUGGAGUUAAUAGGUAUAUUAAUUUGAAUGAAACAAAAAAUCGGUUCGCAUGUUUUGAAUAAGUUGAAUCGGAUUAAAUUGAUGAUUAAUUUCUUUAUUAUUUACUUAAUAUGAUGAUUUAGAGUAUUAAAAAAGAUGUGGAAAUGGGAAGCUUAAAGUUUUGGGUUUUUUGUUUAGUGAGUAAAUAAAAAUGUUGACUUUUUAAGCUGAUAGCUUUGUUUGUGUGUGUAUAUAUAUAUAUAAAAAUUUGCAUAUGCUUUCUGUGAUAAUUAUAUUUGUAGGUGUUGGGCUAGCUUCCAAAAUCUAACAUUAUUUUUUAUACGAGUUUCCUUUUCUGACUUUCAUUGCACUUUGUCUCUAUUCACAUGGUUUCCUUCAAUUAGUUAGAUGCGUUGAAGUUGGACUCCCGGCUUUGAUAGCAGUGAUAUCCCAAUCUCAAAAUUUUGACAGCAGCUGGUGCUUAUGAUAAUAGUGUUUAAAAAACUGAGUUCACUUGUUGUCCUGAUCGUUCUAGCCUCAUUAGUGUUGCAUCUUGUCCUUCGGGAAAGCUAGUUCAAAUCGAGCACCCUUGUCGGCAAUCGAAUCGGGUCAAACAUCUCUUAGAAUCAAAGCUGCUAAUGGGUUAGUAAUUGCUAUUGAGAAGAAAUUACCUUCGAUCUUGGUUUAGUUGUUAAAAAAAUAGUGUCUGACACCAACUGUUGAAGUUAUUUACAAUGUUGGGCAGGUUUUAGCAUUUUGGAUCAAGUUAACAUAAGGUCUUUCUAAACUCGAACAAAACUUCAGGAAGCAAAGUAAGGCAUUGAUUGGUUCUCUUUCCAUUUAACAAUCAAUCCAUUAAAGCUAUUUUAAUUCGCUCAAAUAACAUUCAGGUCGCCUACUUGAGAAGGCCACAAUUACAGAGACCAUAACAAUAAUGAGAAGAGAAAGGGAGUCUCAGUCUCAAAGUCCUAUGUCCAAUACGUUAAAGGACCUUUUCUGAUAUCAACCAUGACAUCUUCCAAAAGAACCAACAGUUGCUCCAAAAAGCACCGUUGUCUCUAAAAUGAAAAGACACUAAGUUCGGACAUCGGAUUGAAUAGGGAGCAGCAAAAUGAUUUGGUGAAGGAUGUUAUCAUGUAAAUGACUAAUGAAAUCAUUCGAGUCCAUACUAUUAUUACUUUUCGGGAUAUUGACAUGUUUGUAUGAUUUCUCUUGAUUAUUAUGCAUGCACUUGCAUAUCUUGAUAUAGGAUAAGAUAUAAAUAGCCUUUAAAGUUGGAUUUUGCGAGUAUAACUAUGGGUUUCGAACUACUGUCGAAUCUGCACUUGUUGAGAUAGUCAUAUUUAUGUUGGUAUCACUUCAUGCAAAUAUGUUUUCCUCCUGCGAGUUUGAUUAUCUAUCACGAUACCUUGGAUUGGAACAAAUGGUGUUAUUGUACGUGAGCAACAGGAAAAAGCUAUUUGGAAAACUGCACAAUAAGGAGCAUCCUUGGAUUUUUUGCGCCACACCUCUUUAGUGAUGGCGUUUUCCAAGUACAAUUCAUUGAAAAUCAGACAUUUAGUGAACUUGUAGAUUUCCUAAACAUUGCACCAGAAGAUUUCGUUAUGAAUAAGCAUUCAUCUGUUGACGAUGAGGUUUUUUAUGAGAUAGAUCGCCAAAAGACAUGGAAUAUCCAUUUGAAUUAUUCGUCUUUUCUGUAAUCCCAUAAAAGUUUUGAUACUAUGAGUUUGCAGUUGGUGUGGAUCUUUUAGAACAUGGUCCCAAAUAUGAUCUGAUAUCGAUGUUAUGUGCUACAGUUUGGUUCUCCUCGCCUUCCUAAGGGACAUUAGUUUACUAUUCAUGGAGUAUCUUGAUGCUUUAUUCUUGCAUGCUCUAUGUGUGAGUAUAGAUCCGACUUAUAUCUUUUGGGCUGUCAAGUUGAUUUACUAUCAUGAUUUUUUGCUUUCUUAUGGUUCGCUUGAUUUAAUAUCACGAACUUUGGCUUUCUGACAACUUAUGGACCUACGCUCCUAACUGAUUAUUAAGGUUAGCAGAGUUAAGCUCGUAACCUCCGAUCUUUUGAGUUAACAGAGUUAAUCUCGUAACCUCCGAUUUAAUUUAUAAACAAAUUCUAUCUUACAAGAAAUACAGUUCGCAAUAUUCUGCAAUAUAAUUCUUGACUCCUGUAUCACACUAUCAAACAACAAAACUCACUCGAUAAAGCUUCAAGUUAAAACCUGUAUGAUUAACACAAAUUUGCCGUAAGGCAUUUGCCAUGGUGGAUCACUUGAAUACAUCACAACAGAUGACAACCAGCUUACUAGGUUAAUCCCUCAACGGUUGAAAAUUUGCACCAGCUUGAAGAGAGCCCACCUUGAAAAAACUGACUUAGAGGGAAUAUAUCUAAAUAUUUAAGUGUUUACCCGAACCUAAAAUUCAUUGACUUGACAAUGAAUUUCAAGGUGUAGUGUCUUCCCAUUGUAGGUUGUGCAAAAGUUGACAUCUUUGGUUUAUCUUGGUUUGAAUGGGAACAAACUAUCUGGUAAUGUACCCUUGGAACUAGGACUUAUGUCCAAGCUUUCGUAUCUAGACUUGUCUGCAAACCAAUUGAGCAAGUCCAUCCCUAAAACUUUCAGGUUAAAAUAAUCAGCAAAAUAUCUCUACUAGUACUUGUAUUUUAUGAAAGCUGCGGAUUCAGGCCCAAUACUGUAAAUUGGGUUGGGUUUAUAAAUUAUACUAAAUUAGGUUUAUUUUGGGUAGGACUUAGGAGUGUUGGGGUGAGCCGUUGGUUAGGGAUUAGGUGGGCAGUACGCUAAGCCUAAUACAUGUAAUAUAUGAUAUUAGUUAUUAAGUUCGAUUAAUCUGUUUAAUUACUUGCUUUCGAGCUAAAUUAACCAAUAAUUAAACUUUUUAAAAAUUAUUAACCAACUUCUAAUCGAAUUAAAUUAGUAAACUGACCGAUUAAUUUUAACCGAAAUUUAAACACCCCUAAAUCUGUUACUCUAAUAUGAUGAUCUUUAAAUUAUUUUUUUAUAAAUGUAUUUGUUUUAAUAGAAUAUAUAUUUAAAAUGGUAUAAAAAAGUAUGAAUUUGUCAAAUUCAUAUAUACCUGAUGAACCCAAAUCAACUGGUUAGUAGGAAUCCAACAAAUUCUUAUUUUUAAGAAAUAAUCACUCAAUCUAUAUAUAUAUAUAUAUAUAUAUAUAUAUAUAUAUAUAUAUAUUAUAUUUUGUAUAUAUAUGUUAUCACUCAAUCUGUAUUUUUUUUUUAAAUUCAAAUCCAAAAUUUAAAACUAAAUUCCCAAAUCCUACAUAAAUUGAAUAGUAAAAUACUUCUAAAUAUUUCAUGAUUAUUUCUAAAUCCAUCGAUUUGUUAAAUGCUUAUUUAGUAGAAAAUUAAAAUUUCUUAAAUUAUUUUGGGCUAAUAUGCAAAAUUAAGUGAAAUUUAAAAUUUACCACUAUACAUCACUUUCACCAAUAUUUUAAAAUUUUAAAAUUUUUUAUAGGGCCAUAACAAUUUUCUAUUUUAGAGGUUUGGCCCCCCAUCAAUCCCCAGGAUUCGCUUCUGACUACAAAAGUUUAAUUUAAUUUUCAAAUACAUUUAUUUAAUUUAAAAAAUAAAAAUUCAAACCACUUAAUGGGUGUUAUUUGAAGGGCAAGAGAGAUGGCCUUAAGAGAAAUGAAUAAAGUGCAAAAUCACAAUACUAUAUUGUUUUAACUUUGUCAAUAUUUCGAUAUCCAAAAAGAAAGCACCCAAUUACAUGAACAACUUCAAAGUUCUAACCAAAAUAAUUGACCGCGUCUUCAAAGUCUCUCUUCACCAUCAACAUGGGUCUUGACUCAACUCCAUGCACCAACACGUUCCAGCUGAGGCCUAAAAGGAAGAGAAAAAAUAUCUGAGAUUAGGAAUAUAAUUUUAUAUCAUUGCAGUGAAAAUUGAAGGCUUAAGGGACAAAAACCAAAAAUUGAACCCCUAGACGUUAGAAUUAUAAUAAAUUAAGCCCUUUUAUCAUUACAGUUAUCCAUCAAAGUUACAAAGUCAAAAGUGCCAUUUUUUUUGCUGGUUGUUUUCACCACAUGGAAAAAACUAGUAUUUAAUGUAUAAAACAUUAAAAAAAUCAACAAACAUUUAAAAAAAGUUAUAGAAAAUCGUAUACACACAUAUCCAUCAGCAGACCACAUCAACAGGCCCGAAAUGAGCCAUAAAAAUCAACAUUGUUAAUAAUAAUAAAAGCUUCCAUGACCUUUUACAGCAAUGAAAAGUAAGUAAGAUUAUUAUUAUUAUUAUAGCUCACAACUACCAACAAAACAAACACAUCGGAGAAACGAUCUCCAUAAUCUAUUAAUGGUUUUUCAGAUAUACAUCUACAGUCUGCAGCAUUCUAUCUUCAUAUGUAAUUCAUUCCAUUUUCAUUUUUGACUUCUUACGUGUUGGAGCUUCAUCAGUCAAGCACGCAAGAACAAAAUCAAAGAAACGAGGAAAAAAUAAUACAGAUAUAAUUAUCACUCCCAAACCUUUUUACUUUCCAAGAAAGCAUACGAUUCAUAUGAUAUACAAAACCGGAAAUAGGAUGGCAAAAUAUUUAACAGGAAUUUCCAAAUAAACAUUUUUGUCCCCUACUAAUUACUUUUUCUCUACUUCAAAUUCUCUACUUAUAGGACUAAGUAAUUCCCAUUUAUUAGAGUUAUAUUCUUAAGUAAUAUUUUGUCCACUCUCUUGCUGAUUUCAACAAGCUAAUAGCUCACUUAGUAAUCACAUUCACUAUCUCAAAUCAAAUUCAGCCUAUUGAAUAAAUCUAUCCUCACUUAGUAAUAGUUAUAUUUUCUGCACUUUCAUCUUGCUUCUUAUCAUAUGCAUGUUGCAAAAAUUUCAGUUCAGUAAGAUCAGGAAAACUUGUAAACCAUUAAAAUAAGAUGUUGCACGAAGACAGAAAGGAAGACUAAAAGGAACAAGUGCGGUGAUGAAGGUUGUACGUUCCCAAGACCAGUUAAAUCAUGAUGGUCGUACCAAUCGUACAGAAUUUCUUGAGAGCCAAACCUUCAUCUCUGGGACAACUGUAUAGCCUCUUCGAGUGAAGUUAAAAGGGUUGGGAAUUUAUUAGGAAAGCACUAAUAUGAAAGUAACACCAAUCAUGAGUAGUGGGAGAGACGGAGGUUAUCAAAAGUAAUUUUUGUGGGGAGGGUCGAUGUCAAGUAGAAGUUACAACCUAAGUAAUAGUUUCGUCAUAAGUAGGUCUGCUCACAAGUCGAGCCUAGACAGGAUACUAACACCUUUCACGUUUGGCUAGGCCCCUGACCCAGCACAAAAUAUGGGCAAUAUCAUUCGACUAGACCCAACACUAAUGACCAAAAGGGAGCCAUUCUUGGCCCAACACAACCCACCGAAUUUCUUUUUCUAAUUUUAUGUAAGUGGCAGUCAAGCUUUACUUUGUUUACUUAUUGUUCAAGAUUAUCAUAGUCCUUAUCAAUAUUGACAUUUUAACUGUGGUAUCCAUCACCGACAAAAGGACAUCAUUUUACUAAAUCUUCACUUGUCUAUAGGUAAUGACCUCGCUCUGAUAUUUUAGGUAGAAACAUUGUCAUAGUCUACCAACUUCCUAAGUAGGAAUUUAAGCCUUUGUUUAGAUCAGGAUAUUUUAUUUUCUUGUUGGAACAAAAAACUAGAAGCAACUAUUGGGGCUUGGGGGUAAGGCAUGACAGAACUUGAGUUCUAGUUCUCUAAAGGCGCUAGGAGCCUCGUACCCAUUUAAAACAACAAAUAGAGCAGACAUUUUCACACAAUGCAAAUCCAACGCCUGAUUCGUCUACUCCGUACCUUAGCAUUACUCAAGUUUUAUACAGGAAGUUCCAGGCUCACUAUCAACUUCUUAGCGACAAGAAGAGCAAACAAAAUGCAAUGACAAGCAGUACUGGCAAAUGAAAAAUCCGUCAAUUUACAACGAUGGGAAUAAUUAAGAUGUGGUAGUGACGUGAAGGGGGCACUAACCUUCAUUUAGAGCAAACCAAAUGUAAUGGCAAGCAGCAUUGGCAAAUGAAUAAUUAUGAUGUAGUAGUGAUAUGAAGGGGGCUCUAACCUUCAUUCAGAACAAAAAUAUAUCACAAAUAUCUUUGGAUCGAUAUGGAACAAUGAUGGCAGAUUGAUGCUCUGUAACUGCAUGAAUCCCUCUUUGCUCGUUGCACCACAUAUUAAAUCUUAUGUACUCAAAACUCAUAUCGAUAUGGUUGACCCAACCCAAAAUACACUCAGCCAUUGCCCAAACGAAACAGAGUGCCACUCCUUGGUGGAUCCACUGAAAAUUCUGAUGACCAUUUGACGGGAAAAUGUUUCUUAUCAAGCAAAUUAUACGCCUCCAAAGAACAAAACUCACCAAAAUAAUUAUACAUGACAGUAUACAGCACAUCGUCCACAAUUGACGCUGUCGUAACCAUUUUUUAGGAAAAUCGGGUAUCGACUUGGAUUUUGAUAAUGAAAAUGAAUAGAGAAGUCGCCACCGAUCCUUUUUGACGAGGUGUGAUCGGGUCACCUUGUAAAAGUGGUUGUUUUUAAUAAAUAGUUUGAUUUAUUUAAACAGCAAUUUUGGUCUACGCAAAUCAAGAAAACAGGUUCGGGAGUCGGUUAUGCACGAGGAAGGAUUAGCACCCUCGAUACGCCCAAAAUUGGUACCUAGUUGAUUAAUUAGUGUCUUAGUGUCGAGAAUUUAAAAACUUGAAAGAAUUCUGAAAUACGAUCCCUUUUUUUAUAAAAAAGUUCAAGUGUUAAAGACCUUCUCGUCUCAAAAUAUGAAAUGUCACAUCCAGUGAGUUAGGACACGACAUCUUGAAUUUUGAGAGCGAGCUUGCCUUUUAUAUAAAACUUACGUUUUUUAAUUUGUUAGAAGGGUAUUCGUUUAUUUAGGGUAAACGAGAAAAAUCAAAACCCAGUAAGUUAGGGUACAUUUUCCCGAGUUCUCAAACACCGAAUAUUGCCUUUGUUUUAAAACAAAUUCAUAUUUCGAGGUGACGAAAUGUCAUACCCGGUAAGUUAGGGCACAACACUUCGUAUCUCCGAGAACGAGCAUUUUCAAAACUCGUAUAGCAAUUUAAAAGAGUAUUCCGUUAUUUAGAUUAAAUGAGAAAAAUCGAAACCCAGUAAGUUAGGGCACGAUUAUCUCGAAUUAUCAAAUACGGAAUAUCACUUUUAUGAAAGAAUUAUUUUAAGGCAUUGAGUAAAAACAUAAAGUGAUUCAUAGUAAUAUAUAAAAGCAGAUCAUGAUAUUAUUAACGUAUAAUAGUGAGUGAUAAUAACGAGUAAUUUUGAAAAGAUGACGUAGAAGCAAGGUUAGUAAUAUAUAAAUAUAAACAAAUGCGUGAGAAAAAUGAAAUGAUCGAAUACAUAAGUAAAUUAACGAAUAAAUGAAUAUAAAGAUGGCGAAAUAAAAUGAUAAUGAUGGCGGUAAUAAUAAUAUAAAAGCGCAUACAUAUACGUAUCAAAGUACCUACGUAAUAAUAGAAGUAAUAAGAAAUAUAAAAAAUAUAUAUACAUAACAAUAAUAGUACGAUAUUAAAAGACACAUAUGCAUGGUAUAUAUAAAAAUGUACAAGUAAUAUAAUAAAAAUUACAUGGUAUAUAUACAUGUUAGUAAUAAUAAUUAUGAUGAUACAAAUAAUGAAUGAUUUAAAGUUUGAGAGAAUUUACAAAGGUAUAAAUAAAUAAGUGACGAAACGAUAAUAAUGAGAAUAAUGAUAUAUAUAAGUGACAUAAGUACGUUAAAAUACGUAUAUAUAUAUUUUCAAUUAGUUAAUAUAAAAACAAUAGCAUAUAGUUAAUUACAUAUAAAAAAGGUUAUAGUAAUAAAAGUAAUAAUGCAAUAGUGAUAACAGUGAGAGGUACAAUAGUAAUUAUAGUAAAAAUGAAAAAAUAAUGAUAAUAAUAAUAAAAACAUUACAUAAAUAUAUGGAAAAUAAAUAUAUGAUAAAAUCAAAUGUAUAUACAUAACAUGUACGUGUAAUACAAAACAAAAUAUACACAUAAUAUAUUAAAACAUAUACAUGACAUACAUAAUAUACAUGGUAGAACAUAAUAUUAUAUAUACAAUAUAUAAAAAUUAUAACAAAAUGACAUACAUGAUAUAACAUUAAUUUACAUGGGCAUAAUGUGAAAUAUAAUAUACAAAUAUAUUUUAAAAGUAUGUAUAUAUGACACAAAUGUAUUAACAAAAUAAUAAUAUCAAAAUUAAUAAUAAUAAUAUAUAAGCGUAUACGUAUAUAUGUUAAAUAUAUAUAAUAAAACAUAUAUUGAUAUUAAUAAUAAAUAUAGAGGUAAGAAUAGGCAUAACAAAAUGUACAUAAUAGAGUAUUUGAAUAUGUAUACAUAAAACAUAUAUUAGGAACAAUAAUAAUAUAUAUAAAACAACUAUAAAAUAUAUAUAUGUAAUAUUAAUCUAAAAAAAUGCCUAAAUAAUAAAAUAUGCUAAAAAUAAUAAUACAAGAAAGGUAAAAUAGAAUAAUGAAUAAUAUUAAAAUAAAAAAGAGUAAAAAUAAUAUGAAAAUAGUAUUAAAUAUGAAAAAGGGACUAAAUUCGGAACAAAUAUUAAGUUUUGGGGUCGAUUUUAAAAUAAAUAUGAAAGAAGGGACCCCUUUGAAUGCGCGCGCAACUGCAGAGGAUCAAAAGGGUAAUUUACCCGAACCCUUAAAACGACGUCGCAGGAGGUAGGAUUAAAUCACAAAACAUGAUGAAUUUUGAGGCCAAUUUGAAAGAAAUAAGAAGCUAAUUGCAAAACGUGUGAAAAGCGGAAGGACCGCGCGCGCAAUUAGACCAUCAUACGAAAACGCGUGGAUCUUGAGGCGGGUUGGAGCCGGGUCUCGGGUCGGGGCAGCUAAACGGAGCCGUUUCUAGAUUGAAAAGGGUCGGGAAAAACGGUGCGUUUUGCCGGCCUAUAUAAACUAAUUAUUUUUUUUAUUUCAUUUCCUUUCUCCUCUUCUAAAAAACUUCUAAUCCUCUCUUCUCUCUUUGCAGGUACCAAAAUCUGGCGAGGAGUGGGCCGGUCGCCGUCGUGUCAUCCGCCAUACCGGCCGUCGCUCCGACCACCGUACACGGUGGCUGAAAAUCACCCGUGGAUAGAUUUUUCUCCUUUUUUUGUAUUUUUUAUUUAUUUAAUAUAUGUGUUGUUUUAUUAAAAUGGGGAUAAUAUAUGUGAAUAAAUUCAAAAAGAAAAAAAGAAAAUAGACCUUAGAUUUACUGUUUUCGGUUUUUCGGUCUCUAAUAUGGGGCUAUUCCUUUCUUUUGAUGUUGCUAAAGUCUCUGUUUUUUCUUGAAAUCGAAUGUUGUUCGCUUUUUAUUUUUAAAAGAAUGCCUCCUACAAUGGUUUUUGAUUUGGCUUUUAAAUAGCCAUUACAUUUCUUUUUCUUUUAAUAUUUGUCUAUUCUUCUGUUGUUGCUGCAGGCAAACGGUGGUGGAGCAGAGGCCACUUGCAGGCGUCGGUGGUGGAUGGGGUGGGGAGCAUGUGCUGACGGCUAGGGUUUCCUUAGCUUUUUCUUUUGUUGUGUGUGUGGGCAUGGGUAGGUUUAGGGUUAUUGGCUUAAUGGGCUUAGGGGUUUUGGGCCCAAAAUUGGGCUUGUACAGCUGCCCCUCUUUGCUUGUUGUCGUGUAACGAGAACAGAGCAAAGACUUAAGAAAGACCAAUUUUGCCCGGUCUCACUGUGUCUGGACUUGUUUAGCGCUCCUUUUCUCCAGGUAGCUUUAUUCCAAUCUUGUUGCUUCGCUUCACUUCACUGCUCUACUGCAACUUCAAGAAGGUAAGGUUUGUUUUGAUCUGCUCCACUGCAACUCCAUGGAGAUAAGACACGUGACUUCAAUCAAUUCCACUGAAACUUCAAGGAGAUCUGUUGUAGCUUCGCUUAAUCCACUGAAACUUCAAGGAGAUCUGCUGUAGCUUCGAUCAAUUCCACUGAAACUUCAAGGAGAUCUGUUGUGGCUUUUAGCUUCUCCAACGCCAUUUCAGGGUGAAGAUAUUUGAUUUUCAACCUGUUACCCUACUGCUUAGGGGGUUAAGGCUUGUCAUCAUUGAUCUGUUUCCCUACUGCUUAGGGGUUUAGAUCUGUAAACUCAACCUGUUACCCUACUGCUUAGGGGUUUAAGGUUUGAAAAUUUGGCUUGUUACCCUAUUGUUUAGGGCAAUAAUAUUUAUAAACUUCAGCUUGUUACCCUACUGCUUAGGGGGUUAAAGCUUAGUGGUUUGAAUCUGCUUCACUGCAUUCGAAGAGGUAAAAUUCGAUGUAUUUGAUCUGCUCCACUGCAACUUCAGGGAGGUGAGAUCUGUGAUUUUUAGCCUAUUACCCUACUGCUUAGGGGGUUAAGGCCCAUCUUCUUUAAUUUGCUUCCCUACUGCUUAAGGUGAUAAGAUCUGCAAAUUCGGCUUGUUACCCUACUGCUUAGGGGGUUAAAGCCCUUUGAAUUUAAUCUAUUACCCUACUACUUAGGGGUUCAAGGUCUGUACAUUUAGUCUACUCCACUGCGACUUCAAGGAGAUGAGAUUUGUAACUUCAGUCUACUCCACUGAGACUUCAGGAAGACAGGAUUCGCUGGAUUUGAUCUGUUCCACUGCAACUUCAGGGAGACGAAAUCUGUAAUUUUCAGCCUAUGACCCUACUGCUUAGGGGGUUAAGAUCUGUAAAUUUAACCUGUUACCCUACUGCUUAUGGGUUUAAGGCUUGGCGAAUUCACUGAUUCUAGGGACAUGACCUGUAGAAUCAGUUCCAUGUAUUUAUGCUUAUGCCAAAGAAUUAGGAUGCUAUGAUCAAAGUGAAUCAAAUGCUCCUAAUUAGAUGCAUUACAAAUGAUCUAUAAAUGUAUGGGUGCAACAUGUGGUGAGCGUGAGUCCCUUUUAAUGUUUAGGUUGCUAUUGCUCUUUGUUCAUCAAGGUUCUUUCUCUUAAAAGGUACUCUAUCUUCUUGUUCAGCUUAAAUUUUGAACAGAAAACCCGAAUAGGUGGUCCCAAUUUAUACUCUUUCUUCUCAGAUGCUUCCAAUCUUUGAGUUUGGUUAGUUCUAAAUAAUAGUCCUGUUUUAGGUUCCUGUACUAUUUAAAACUUUCAGAGUAAUGUGCAGAACUCUUUUUGCAAAAAUGGUUUUAGUCCAUUAAUCAUCAAUGCAAAAUGCUUGAAAAAGAUCAUAACAAUGACAAAACUGAAAUUUAUCAGAAACAACAUUUGAAGGGAAUAUAUUAAUCACAGUCAACAAACAUUGCUGGAAUACAAAAUGAAUAAAAGGGACUAGGUGCCCCAGAUAUCGCAGCGUGAGUUUCUCUGUACUGACUUCUUGAAGACUCCCCUUUUUUGCCCAAUAUGUGUUUAAGGGACCUAGAGUACUCUUGCAGAUGCCCCAAGAUGUAACAUCUCUCCUUCUUGUUAAUUUAGGUACCAUAAGACCAUCGCAUGCCCUACAUUCGAUCAAAAUUUGAAUUGCCUUUUAUGGGUUUUCAAUUCAAAAUCCCUUUGGUCUCAAGGUGCUCUUCGCGAGUUUUCACCCUGGCCUCUCUCUUUUUUUUUAGGCGAAGUAUUUCUUGACCGAAUCCGAAUUCACGGGAUUGGAUAAGGUCUUGCCAUCCAUUUUAGCCAAUAUCAAUGCUCCGCGAGAAAAGGCUUUCUUCACCACAUAAGGCCCUUCCCAAUUCGGCAUCCAUUUUCCUCUGAAGUCUUUUUGUAUGGGCAGGAUCUUUUUCAGUACUAGGUCUCCCUCGUGGAACUCUCUGGGACGAACCUUUUUGUCGUAAGCUCACAUCAUUCGCUUUUGGUACAUCUGACCAUGGCGAAUAGCCCGUAGCCUCUUUUCUUCAAUCAAAUUCAACUAUCGUAUCGGGAUUGGAUCUAUUCUGCUUCAUCCAACUUUACUUCUGACAAAACUCUGAGGGAAAGAAUCUCGACCUCGAUAGGUAAGACUGCCUCCAUUCCAUAGACUAAUGAGAAAGGCGUUGCCCCAGUAGAAGUUCUGAUAGACGUUCGAUAAGCAUAGAGGGCGAAUGGUAGCUUUUCAUGCCAAUCUUUAUAAGUUUUUGUCAUCUUUCCUACAAUCUUCUUGAUGUUCUUAUUGGCUGCUUCGACUGCAUCAUUCAUCUUCGGGCGAUACGGUGACGAGUUGUGGUGUCUGAUCUUGAACUGACUAUAGACAUCCGCUAUCGUGUUAUUGUUCAAAUUCAAUGCGUUGUCAGAUAUGAUCCUUUUAGGCAUUCCAUAUCGAUAGAUGAUUUCCUUUUUCAGGAACUUGCUAACUGCUGAUUUAGUGACAUUGGCAUAUGAAGCGGCUUCCACCCAUUUGGUGAAAUAAUCGAUGACCACAAAGAUGAAACGAUGCCCAUUUGAAGCUUUUAGCGAAAUUGGCCCAAUCACAUCCAUGCCCCACAUUGAGAAAGGCCAUGGCGAAGUCAUGACAUGCAGAGGUGAGGGAGGUACAUUAAUCUUGUCUCCAUAGAUUUGGCACUUAUGACAUUUUUUGGCGUAGUUAAUACAGUUUCCUUCCAUGGUGGACCAAUAAUAACCGAACCUCAUAAUUUGCCUGGCCAUUGUAAAACCAUUAGCAUAUGUCCCUCAGACGCCCUCAUGGACUUCCUCCAAGAUUUUCUUAGCCUCAAUAGCGUCUACACAUCUUAACAGUACAUGAUCCUUUCUUCUUUUGUAUAGGAUCUCCCCGUCUAAGACAUAGUCACUGGCCAGUCUUCUCAAUGUUCUUUUGUCGUUCUCAGUAGCUUGGUCGGGGUACUCACGAUUCUUCACAUAUCGUAGGAUAUCAUGGUACCAAGGGCGAUCAUCAUUUUCCUCUUUUUCUUUGAGGUUGUAACAAUGAGCCGGGGCCUCGUAAAUGCUCAUUUGGAUUGGUUUCACAUUCUCUGGUUGGUUCACCUUAAUCAUAGAAGCUAAAGUUGCUAGGGCGUCAGCCAUCUGAUUUUCUUCUCGUGGGAGGUAGUAGAAGACAAUAUCAUCAAACUCUUUAAUUAACUCAAGGAUCAACCUCCGGUAAUUGAUCAAUUUGUCUCUUGUCUCCCAUUCCCCUUUGAGUUGAUAAAUCACUAGGGCAGAAUCUCCAUAUACCUCUAACACCUUGAUUUUACGUUCUAUGGCCGCACGUAUUCCCAUGAUGCAUGCUUCGUACUCUGCCAUAUUGUUCGUGCAGUCAAAAUCUAAUUUACUAGUGAAUGGAUAAUGAUCUCCGUUCGGGGACACCAGAACUGCCCCGAUUCCGUUACCCACAGCAUUUGAUGCUCCGUCAAAGUUUAGCUUCCAAGGGUGCUUUCUUGAGGGUCUUCUUCUGUGGUUGCUAUGCACAUUAGAUCUUCAUUUAGGAAAUAAAAGUUCAGAGGCUCGUAGUCCUCUAGGGCUCUGCUGGCUAGGAAAUCUGCUAUCGCACUUCCUUUUACGGCCCUCUGGUUCACAUAAACUAUAUCGAAUUCAGAAAGUAGAAUUUUCCAUCGGGCCAUUCUCCCGUUCAAGGCAGUCGACUCCGUCAAGUAUUUUAGAGGAUCCAUUUUAGAGAUCAGCCAAGUUGUAUGGUACAACAUGUAUUGUUUCAGUCUUCGGGUUGUCCAGAUCAAGGCACUACACAACUUUUCAAUGAACGAGUAUCUCGUCUCACACUCAGUAAACUUUUUACUGAGGUAAUAUAUCACUCUUUCUUUCCUUUCCGAUUCAUCGUGUUGGCCAAGCACACAUCCCAUAGAAUUUUCAAAUACCGUCAAAUACAGCAUCAGUGGCUUAUCUGGAUUAAGUGGUGUCAACACUGGGCAUUAGACAAAUAUUGCUUAACUUUGUCGAAAGUCUUCUGGCAUUCCUCGUCCCAACCACCAGGGUUGUGUUUCUUAAAGAGACGGAAUAUGGGGUUACAUUUCUCGGUUAGUUGUGAAAUAAACCGAGCGAUGUAAUUUAGUCUUCCUAGGAAUCCUUGAACUUCCUUCUAAGUACGUGGUGGAGGUAACUCUUGUAUGGCUUUGACUUUGUCUGGGUCAAUCUCAAUCCCUUUUUCACUGACCACGAAUCCUAACAGUUUUCCUGACCUGGCUCCGAAGGUACAUUUUGCGGGAUUGAAUUUCUAUUGGAAUUUUCUCAACCUCAAAAAUAAUUUCCUCAAGACUUGCACAUGCUCUUCUUCAGUCCGAGAUUUGGCGAUCAUGUCGUCGACAUAGACUUCAAUUUCUUUAUGCAUCAUAUCAUGAAAUAGGGUUACCAUGGCUCUCUGAUAUGUUGCUCCCGCAUCUUUCAAUCUGAACGGCAUUACUUCAUAGCAAAAGGUUCCCCACAUGGUCACAAAUGUAGUUUUAUUCAUGUCUUCAGGAUGCAUCUUGAUCUGAUUGUACCCCGAGAAACCAUCCAUGAAGGAGAAGAGUGAGUAACCUACCGUGUUGUCCACUAAGGUGUCGAUAUGAGGCAACGGGAAAUUAUCUUUCGGGCUGGCCUUGUUUAAGUCUCUGUAGUUUACACACAUCCAUACCUUUCCAUCUUUUUUAGGGACGGGGACGAUGUUGGCUACCCAUUCCGAGUACUUAACUACUUGUAAGAAACCAGCAUCAAAUUGCUUCUUGACCUCCUCUUUUAUUUUCAACAGAACAUCAGAGUGCAUCCUUCGAAGCUUUUGCUGAACUGGCUUGCAUUCUUCUUUGAUGGGGAGCCUAUGUACCACAAUGUCAGUACUUAGCCCAGGCAUAUCCUGAUAUGACCAUGCAAAGACAUCCUUGAACUCUUGGAGUAACUCAAUAAGGUCCCGCUUUGUCUCUGUGGUGAUGCAAGCUCCGAUCUUUACUUCUCUCCUUUCUAGUUCAUCUCCCAAGUUCACGACCUCUACGGUCUCUUUGUGGGGUAGAAUCUAUUUUUCCUCGUGUUAUACCAUCCUUAACAAAUCAGGGGAUAAGUUAUAGUCUCCGUCAUCCUCAAAGUCUUGGGAUCCCUCCAGACACAUAUCUCGCUCAAAAGGAGAUUCUGAAUUAGUAGCAAUGUCACUCGCAUCAUUGAUAUUUGGAGACCUAUUGUAGGUGUGAAGGAAGAUGCAAAGAACAAGAGAACCUAAGAACAAUGAUAUGUGUGGUAUGAUCAUGAAUGAAAGAAUAAAAGAAUAUUUGCACGGAAUAAGUCAAAAGGAUGCAUUUCAUUGAAAUAACGAUUUCGAACAUAAGCCUAUUUCACAAAAGGACACUUGUUACUCCUAGGCCUAGAGCAAUAAGUGUGUUUUGGACAUUACUCUGAGUUAGUUCUAAAGACUACAGGAAUCUCUUCCGCAGUCCAAUUAUUCAGAACACUUCCCGGCUCAUAGGGGCGAAUGCCUGACAAAUUCUCUACCUCCGUCCCUUAUUCAUAUGUGGCGUUGAUGUCCAAACUCUCCAUCAUUCCUUCCAAGAUUUCCUUUCCCGACAUCUUCCACUCGGAGUGAAUGACCCCUCCAGACACAAAAGUCUUCGAUAUAUGGGGGAAGAUCAUUGGUUCCCAUUCGAUUUCUCCCCCGCUCAAUCGCGUUCUCCUUCUUUCUUGCUUCUUCUCAAGUUCUUUCUUUAUUUGUUUUAUGAUCUGCUUAAACCCUAACCCAAAAUGGUCUUGAUUUUUCUUCAUCAUUGGUACAUUAAUCCUUCCUUGGAGGUAUCUCCCGAGUCCUCUUCCGGGUAGAGCCCAUUUUCCAAUAGUUAGCCGUAGUCCCUUUCUUGUAGUCUCAGAUAACCUGGGCAUUGGAAUCUUAUUCCUUCGAUAAUGAACGUCGCGUUCACAAACUCUAAAGAUUGAAAAGAGCACUCGAUUGCUUUAUCAUUUGCCUCCAGAUAUGGGGCAUCACUGGUUAUUGCCGCGAUGAUGUCCUCUUCAGCAUUGAUUGUUACUAACCGACCUUCGGUCACUAAUUUUAACUUUUGAUGCAGCGAUGAAGGGACUGCCCCCGUCGAGUGUAUCCACGGCUCCCCAAUAGGCAAUUAUACGAAGGCUUAAUGUCCAUGACCAAGAAAUGUACCUCGUAUGCACUCGGCCCGAUUAAGGCUUAAUGUCAUUCAAUACCCCCGGUAACGUGUACCCUUUACAGCGAGUCGUGAUGUGCAAAGCUUUAGUUGAUCCUAGGCCUCCUGGCGGUACCUCAUCGUCAUUGAAGAAUAUGAAGUUGUCGGCACUUAUAUUGUUGACUAAUUAGUGUCGCACCCUCGAUACGCCCAAAAUUGGUACCUAGUUGAUUAAUUUGUGUCUUAGUGUCGAAAAUUUAAAAACUUGAAAGAAUUCUGAAAUACGAUCCCUUUUUUAUAAAAAAGUUCAAGUGUUAAAGACCUUCUCAUCUCAAAAUAUGAAAUGUCACAUCCAGUGAGUUAGGACACGACAUCUUGAAUUUUUGAGAGCGAGCUUGCCUUUUAUAUAAAACUUACGUUUUUUAAUUUGUUAGAAGGGUAUUCGGUUAUUUAGGGUAAACGACAAAAAUCGAAAUCCAGUAAGUUAGGGUACGUUUUCCCGAGUUCUCAAACACCGAAUAUUGCCUUUGUUUUAAAACAAAUUCAUAUUUCGAGGUGACGAAAUGUCAUACCCGGUAAGUUAGGGCACAACACUUCGUAUCUCCGAGAACGAGCAUUUUCAAAACUCGUAUAGCAAUUUAAAAGAGUAUUCCGUUAUUUAGAUUAAAUGAGAAAAAUCAAAACCCAGUAAAUUAGGGCACGAUUAUCUCGAAUUACCAAAUACGGAAUAUCACUUUUAUGAAAGAAUUAUUUUAAGGCAUUGAGUAAAAACAUAAAGUGAUUCAUAGUAAUAUAUAAAAGCAUAUCAUGAUAUUAUUAACGUAUAAUAGUGAGUGAUAAUAACGAGUAAUUAUGAAAAGAUGACGUAGAAGCAAGGUUAGUAAUAUAUAAAUAUAAACAAAUGCGUGAGAAAAAUGAAAUGAUCGAAUACAUAAGUAAAUUAACGAAUAAAUGAAUAUAAAGACGGCGAAAUAAAAUGAUAAUGAUGGCAGUAAUAAUAAUAUAAAAGCGCAUACAUAUACGUAUCAAAGUACCUACGUAAUAAUAGAAGUAAUAAGAAAUAUAAAAAAUAUAUAUACAUAACAAUAAUAGUACGAUAUUAAAAGACACAUAUGCAUGGUAUAUAUAAAAAUGUAUAAGUAAUAUAAUAAAAAUUACAUGGUAUAUAUACAUGUUAGUAAUAAUAAUUAUGAUGAUACAAAUAAUGAAUGAUUUAAGGUUUGAGAGAAUUUACAAAGGUAUAAAUAAAUAGGUGACGAAACGAUAAUAAUGAGAAUAAUGAUAUAUAUAAGUGACAUAAGUACGUUAAAAUACGUAUAUAUAUAUAUUUUAAAUUAGUUAGUAUAAAAACAAUAGCAUAUAGGUAAUUACAAAUAAAAAGAUUAUAGUAAUAAAAGUAAUAAUGCAAUAGUGAUAACAGUGAGAGGUACAAUAGUAAUUAUAGUAAAAAUGCAAAAAUAAUGAUAAUAAUAAUAAAAACAUUACAUAAAUAUAUAGAAAAUAAAUAUAUGAUAAAAUCAAAUGUAUAUACAUAACAUGUACGUGUAAUACAAAACAAAAUAUACACAUAAUAUAUUAAAACAUAUACAUGACAUACAUAAUAUACAUGGUAGAACAUAAUAUGAUAUAUACAAUAUAUAAAAAUUAUAACAAAAUGACAUACAUGAUAUAACAUUAAUUUACAUGGGCAUAAUGUGAAAUAUAAUAUACAAAUAUAUGUUAAAAGUAUGUAUAUAUGACACAAAUGUAUUAACAAAAUAAUAAUAUCAAAACUAAUAAUAAUAAUAUAUAAGCGUAUACGUAUAUAUGUUAAAUAUAUAUAAUAAAACAUAUAUUGAUAUUAAUAAUAAAUAUAGAGGUAAGAAUAGGCAUAACAAAAUGUACAUAAUAGAGUAUUUGAAUAUGUAUACAUAAAACAUAUAUUAGGAAUAAUAAUAAUAUAUAUAAAACAACUAUAAAAUAUAUAUAUGUAAUAUUAAUCUAAAAAAAAUGCCUAAAUAAUAAUAAAAUAUGCUAAAAAUAAUAAUACAAGAAAGGUAAAAUAGAAUAAUGAAUAAUAUUAAAAUAACAAAGAGUAAAAAUAAUAUGAAAACAGUAUUAAAUAUGAAAAAGGGACUAAAUUCGGAACAAAUAUUAAGUUUUGGGGUCGAUUUUAAAAUAAAUAUGAAAGAAGGGACCCCUUUGAAUGCGCGCGCAACUGCAGAGGAUCAAAAGGGUAAUUUACCCGAACCCUUAAAACGACGUCGCAGGAGGUAGGAUUAAAUCACAAAACAUGAUGAAUUUUGAGGCCAAUUUGAAAGAAAUAAGAAGCUAAUUGCAAAACGUGUGAAAAGCGGAAGGACCGCGCGCGCAAUUAGACCAUCAUACGAAAACGCGUGGAUCUUGAGGCUGGUCGGAGCCGGGUCUCGGGUCGGGGUAGCUAAACGGUGCCGUUUCUGGAUUUAAAAGGGCCGGGCAAAACGGUGCGUUUUUCCGGCCUAUAUAAACUAAUUAUUUUUUUAUUUCAUUUCCUUUCUCCUCUUCUAAAAAAACUUCUAAUCCUCUCUUCUCUUUCUGCAGGUACCAGAAUCCGGCGAGGAGUGGGCCGGUCGCCGUCGUGUCAUCCGCCGUGCCGGCCGUCGCUCCGACCACCGUACACGGUGGCCAGAAAUCACCCGUGGGUAGAUUUUUCUCCUUUUUUGUAUUUUUUAUUUAUUUAAUCUAUGUGUUGUUUUAUUAAAAAUGGGGAUAAUAUAUGUGAAUAAAUUCAAAAAGAAAAAAGAAAAUAGACCUUAGAUUUGCUGUUUUUGGUUCUCCGGUCUCUAAUAUGGGGCUAUUCCCUGCUUUUGAUGUUGCUAAAGUCUCUGUUUUUUCUUGACCUUACAAUGGUUUUUGAUUUGGCUUUUAAAUAGCCAUUACAUUUCUUUUUCUUUUAAUAUUUGUCUAUUCUUCUGUUGUUGCUGCAGGCAAACGGUGGUGGAGCAGAGGCCACUUGCAGGCGUCGUUGGUGGAUGGGGUGAGGAGCAUGUGCUGACGGCUAGGGUUUCCUUAGCUUUUUCUUUUGUUGUGCGUGUGGGCAUGGGUAGGUUUGGGGUUAUUGGCUUAGUGGGUUUUGGGGUUUUGGGCCCAAAAUUGGGCUUGUACAGACGCUAAGCCAGACCAGUAACAAAAUUUUUGUUCGAGGCAAACCCAUGAUUUACGAUCAUAGUAAUAAGCAUAAAGAGAAUCAUUGACAAGGCAGUGCACCAAAAUCCGAGAUCGGGAAGAAUCUAGAACAGGAUUACUUAGAGCGAUAACUUCCGGAGGGGGCGACAAUGGUUCCCAAAUAUCCCCACUUAUAUCGUAAACCUCGCCAAAAGAUUCAAAACCCAAUUGUUCGAAGACGUAAAUCUUUCCUUCUGCAGCAAAAACCAGGGGAAAAGCCUGAGGGAACAACAUAGAAGUAGUUUUCUCCACCCACGUUCAAGGUCCUUCCAAUCUAAUCGGAAAACAUCGUUUACAUCAUCAUAACCACCAAAAGUAGCAUCAGUUUUGCUUAUUCCCCCAAGAACGUAAACGUGGUUACCCGAGCGCUAUUCAAAAAAUAGUUAAAUUUUUGUUCAAACUGGAUCCAAAUUAUAUAUGUUAAACUCGGGCUCGACCCAAAUUUUUUUAAAGCUACAUAUACCAAAUCAAACUAUGUAUUUGACUUGGACCUGUUAUUAUGAAAUGCAACUAAUAUGAUUUGGUCUGGUUAUAACUCAACAGCUUUGUAUUAUGCUAGACAAUAGCUGGUGGCUUUAUAACUGUAUACUCAAUAGAGACUCAAGUACCAAACAAUAUUAAAAACGCCAAAAGUACCUAAAAUUACUCAAGUAACAAGUUUACCAACCUAGUUACAUACCUUAAGACUCAACAUACAAAAUAGUAACAAAAUGACUUUCGAGUUGAGCUGGAGAAAAUGGAUGCUUGACCAUGUAUUUACUAAAGCUCCCAUCCGAUACCUACGCACAAAAAUAAAUAUAACUGUACGCUUAGUAAUAUAUACUCAAUAGUACUAACAUAAUUUAAAUUCAAUUAUAAACAUAAUAAAAUUGAAUAAACAAAUAAGUAAGAAGAUUAAAUAUAUUAUUAACAUGCAUGAAAUUAAUUAAUAUCAACAUGCAUGAAAUUAAAUCUUUAACAUAGUCUAAUUUCUAGCGACUUGUUUUAAGAAAUCGAAUUUCUCAAUUUCAAUUGAAGUAAUUUGCUUCAAUUUGAUCCUCAAUUGCAAUUCUAAUCUCACCUAAGCUAAUCCAAAGUUCUAGUUACUACUCUCUAACCCGUAUUUCUCUUACCUAGAUUUUCUAAACUCAUAUUUUCUUUUCUUCCUCUUAAUCACGUGAUUUUUUUUUAUUCUUUUCUUUUUCCUACUUCUAGUCCAGACUUUGAGGUGUGAUAGUUUCUAAAUAUAUUUAAAGAGAAAACCAACUUGCUUACCUUUCAUAUAUUUUCGGAAAUAAUUGAUUUCGAAAAAACUGGGUGCCUAUAUCAAAAUAAUAAAAUAACAAUAUUCAUUUAAUAUGAAUUAAAAAAACAAUUUUACAAUGAUAAUAUAAUUUUUCUAUAUUCCUUACCUGCUUUUAUUGCCUAUUGCAUAAUUGAUUAGACCUUCAAAUAGAUGAAGAUACAAUUCUGGCAGUAGCGUACUCAACUCACUCUCAAUGUUAAUGAUGUUAAUCUAUAAAAUAAACAAUUUAAGUAAAAGUUAAUAACAAAAGUAAAUAGAAUAUCAUAAUAAAAAAUAUUGAAAUCUUACUUCUACUGUUAUAUUGUCGUUGUAAUGAAGGUAAACAUUAGAGCAGUACUGUACUACAGAGGACAAGGAAUUAGUUGGGUAAUGAGAUUCUGGAUGCUCUAAUACAGAUUUAAGCACCGGAUCACAUUUCACCACCGACAUCCAUUUAUAUGAAUAUUUCUUUCGCAAGAGAAAUAGGCAUCUAUCAAUAAAACCCUGCAUAAUCUCUCCACGCUUCAUCAUGUGAUCCAGAUUUAUAAUAAAAUGGAACUUAUCAACCGGUCUCCAAAAUAAAGGCACAUCCAGUAGAAACACGGGACUCAUCUAUUUCCUGUCCAUUUGGACAUAGUCAAAUAAGAAAAAAAAAUUAUAAAAUUAAUGAAGUAGAACAUAUGAGUUAUUGAACUUUAAAAUAAAUAUAUGAAACAUAACUUACAAGUUUUGAGAUUUGAGCUAGUUAAGAAACAAUGAUAAUUCAUUCGGCAUAUUGAAAUUCUCAUAAUUUCGGAUAAUAGAUCCAAAUGGCAUAUUGACGAUGUAGUUCAUCAAAUAUUUCAACUCAUCAAUAUCACCUUCUAUUGGUUGGUCAGAUGCAUUCAAAUUGGGUAAAAACUUUACCCCCCACUGAAAUUAGUGAUGAAUAUAGGCUUCGUCGGAUCUUGCGUGUAAAUGCUCUUAUUACUUUUAGCCCGAAACAAGCAAUAUCCUUUAAGAUCUUAACGAAAUCCUUACUAAUAUAAUUGAACCAUUCAUGCUGAUUUCGAUCACUACUUUCCCACACCUCCAUCUUUUCUCUAAAAUAUGUUACAAUAUUUUUAGAAUAUUCUAGUCCAACCAGCCAUUCAUCUUGAUACCGUACAAGAUGAUGCCAACUUAAUAUCCAGUUAUCGUGAUGCUCCACUAAAUGUGUGUAUAGCUCCAAAGCUUUCUCUUCGUCUUUAAACGGCAAGAAAGUGGAGCUAAUUUCUUUUCCUGAAAUCUUUAGCACUCCAUAAUACACACCAGCAUCCUCUUUCAUAUUCUCACAAUAUGGUUCCGACAUAACUGUUGCAAACCAAAAAUAAAAAUUAAACUAAUAAAGGAGACAAUCUUAUGCUAAUACUACUAAAGCAGAAUAUAUUGUAAACAGAAGAGGAAUUGAAAAUUUUGAGCAAAAAACCAAAAAGAAAAUUUGAUUUACUGGCAACUUCAAGGACAAGUAGCAUUGAAUAUAGAAGGGAUUGAAAAAAACAUACCUGGAAUUGGAUGAGAUUGACCAGCGGCAGGACGGAGACAGUUGAAGGUUGGAGCGGAGAAGGAGACGAAAGUAGUGAGCGGAACAACGAAACCUAGGAAUUUUUGGUGAAAAUAGAAACUGAUCAUUAAAAAUAUUUAAUCCAGGGCUAAAAAAUGCUUACAUAAGAGUUUAGUAGAACAAUUUAUAACACUAGAACGCAUUUCCCAGGAUUAAGUUAUGAGAUAACAAUAUAGAAUUCCCCGUACCACUGCACAGUCACGUUCCUUCUAACACAAUUCGAACAAUUUUUCGGCUUUUUAAACAUAAUUCAGGAUCACAUUAGAUUGAGUAUCCCCACUAUAGAUAAUCUCAAUACAGUACACAUGUAUACAGUUCACAGAACACAAUUCUAGCAGUAAAAUAGAAAGAAAAACUUAAACACCCUCGUAAUUCCUCCUUUUUGGCCGACCAUCUCUAUCUCACCACCAUUCAGCCACGGCAAUUGACUUCCGGUGAUGAGAAGAGGCUCCGUUUAAUCUCUGUUUAAGGCCAAGCCCGAAGGUCUCGGUGCUCACCACCCCAAAGCCACUCUUUGCUUCGAUUUUAGCUAAUACUACUAAAGCAGAAUAUAUUGUAAACAGAAGCGGAAUUGAAAAUUUUGAGCAAAAACCCAAAAAGAAAAUUUGAUUUACUGGCAACCUCAAGGACAAUUAGCAUUGAAUAUAGAAGGGAUUAAAAAACAUACCUGGAUUUGGAUGAGAUUGACCAGCGGCAGGACGGAGACAGUUGAAGGUUGGAGCGGAGAAGGAGACGAAAGUAGUGAGCGGAACAACGAAACCUAGGAAUUUUUGGUGAAAAUAGAAACUGAUCAUUAAAAAUAUUUAAUCCCGGGCUAAAAAAUGCUUACAUAAGAGUUUAGUAGAACAAUUUAUAACACUAGAACGCAUUUCCCAGGAUUAAGUUAUGAGAUAACAAUAUAGAAUUCCCCGUACCACUGCACAGUCACGUUCCUGCUAACACAAUUCGAACAAUUUUUCGGCUUCUUAAACAUAAUUCAGGAUCACAUUAGAUUGAGUAUCCCCACUAUAGAUAAUCUCAAUACAGUACACAUGUAUACAGUUCACAGAACACAAUUCUAGCAGUAAAACAGAAAGAAAAACUUAAACACCCUCGUAAUUCCUCCUUUUUGGCCGACCAUCUCUAUCUCACCACCAUUCAGCCACGGCAAUUGACUUCCGGUGAUGAGAAGAGACUCCAUUUAAUCUCCGUUUAAGGCCAAGCCCGAAGGUCUCGGUGCUCACCACCCCAAAGCCACUCUUUGCUUCGAUUUUAGCUAAUACUUCUAAAGCAGAAUAUAUUGUAAACAGAAGAGGAAUUGAAAAUUUUAAGCAAAAACCCAAAAAGAAAAUUUGAUUUACUUGCAACUUCAAGGACAAGUAGCAUUGAAUAUAGAAGGGAUUGAAAAAAACAUACCUGGAUUUGGAUGAGAUUAACCAGCGGCAGGACGAAGACAGUUGAAGGUUAGAGCGGAGAAGGAGACGAAAGUAGUGAGCGGAACAACGAAACCUAGGAAUUUUUGGUGAAAAUAGAAACUGAUCAUUAAAAAUAUUUAAUCCCGGGCUAAAAAAUGCUUACAUAAGAGUUUAGUAGAACAAUUUAUAACACUAGAACGCAUUUUCCAGGAUUAAGUUAUGAGAUAACAAUAUAGAAUUCCCCGUACCACUGCACAGUCACGUUCCUGCUAACACAAUUCAAACAAUUUUUCGGCUUCUUAAACAUAAUUCAGAAUCACAUUAGAUUGAGUAUCCCCACUAUAGAUAAUCUCAAUACAGUACACUUGUAUACAGUUCACAGAACACAAUUCUAGCAGUAAAACAGAAAGAAAAACUUAAACACCCUCGUAAUUCCUCCUUUUUGGCCGACCAUCUCUAUCUCACCACCAUUCAGCCACGGCAAUUGACUUCCGGUGAUGAGAAGAGGCUCCGUUUAAUCUCCGUUUAAGGCCAAGCCCGAAGGUCUCGGUGCUCACCACCCCAAAGCCACUCUUUGCUUCGAUUUUAGCUAAUACUACUAAAGCAGAAUAUAUUGUAAACAGAAGAGGAAUUGAAAAUUUUGAGCAAAAACCCAAAAAGAAAAUUUGAUUUACUGGCAACUUCAAGGACAAGUAGCAUUGAAUAUAGAAGGGAUUGAAAAAAACAUACCAGGAUUUGGAUGAGAUUGACCAGCGGCAGGACGGAGACAGUUGAAGGUUGGAGCGGAGAAGGAGACGAAAGUAGUGAGCGGAACAACGAAACCUAGGAAUUUUUGGUGAAAAUAGAAACUGAUCAUUAAAAAUAUUUAAUCCCGGGCUAAAAAAUGCUUACAUAAGAGUUUAGUAGAACAAUUUAUAACACUAGAACGCAUUUCCCAGGAUUAAGUUAUGAGAUAACAAUAUAGAAUUCCCCGUACCGCUGCACAGUCACGUUCCUGCUAACACAAUUCGAACAAUUUUUCGGCUUCUUAAACAUAAUUCAGGAUCACAUUAGAUUGAGUAUCCCCACUAUAGAUAAUCUCAAUACAGUACACAUGUAUACAGUUCACAGAACACAAUUCUAGCAGUAAAACAGAAAGAAAAACUUAAACACCCUCGUAAUUCCUCCUUUUUGGCCGACCAUCUCUAUCUCACCACCAUUCAGCCACGGCAAUUGACUUCCGGUGAUGAGAAGAGGCUCCGUUUAAUCUCCGUUUAAGGCCAAGCCCGAAGGUCUCGGUGCUCACCACCCCAAAGCCACUCUUUGCUUCGAUUUUAGCUAAUACUACUAAAGCAGAAUAUAUUGUAAACAGAAGAGGAAUUGAAAAUUUUGAGCAAAAACCCAAAAAGAAAAUUUGAUUUACUGGCAACCUCAAGGACAAGUAGCAUUGAAUAUAGAAGGGAUUGAAAAAAACAUACCUGGAUUUGGAUGAGAUUGACCAGCGGCAGGACGGAGACAGUUGAAGGUUGGAGCGGAGAAAGAGACGAAAGUAGUGAGCGGAACAACGAAACCUAGGAAUUUUUGGUGAAAAUAGAAACUGAUCAUUAAAAAUAUUUAAUCCCGGGCUAAAAAAUGCUUACAUAAGAGUUUAGUAGAACAAUUUAUAACACUAGAACGCAUUUCCCAUGAUUAAGUUAUGAGAUAACAAUAUAGAAUUCCCCAUACCACUGCACAGUCACGUUCCUACUAACACAAUUCGAACAAUUUUUCGGCUUCUUAAACAUAAUUCAGGAUCACAUUAGAUUGAGUAUCCCCACUAUAGAUAAUCUCAAUACAGUACACAUGUAUACAGUUCACAGAACACAAUUCUAGCAGUAAAACAGAAAGAAAAACUUAAACACCCUCGUAAUUCCUCCUUUUUGGCCGACCAUCUCUAUCUCACCACCAUUCAGCCACGGCAAUUGACUUCCGGUGAUGAGAAGAGGCUCCGUUUAAUCUCCGUUUAAGGCCAAGCCCGAAGGUCUCGGUGCUCACCACCCCAAAGCCACUCUUUGCUUCGAUUUUAGCUAAUACUACUAAAGCAGAAUAUAUUGUAAACAGAAGAGGAAUUGAAAAUUUUGAGCAAAAACCCAAAAAGAAAAUUUGAUUUACUGGCAACUUCAAGGACAAGUAGCAUUGAAUAUAGAAGGGAUUGAAAAAAACAUACCUGGAUUUGGAUGAGAUUGACCAGCGGCAGGACGGAGACAGUUGAAGGUUGGAGCGGAGAAGGAGACAAAAGUAGUGAGCGGAACAACGAAACCUAGGAAUUUUUGGUGAAAAUAGAAACUGAUCAUUAAAAAUAUUUAAUCCCGGGCUAAAAAAUGCUUACAUAAGAGUUUAGUAGAACAAUUUAUAACACUAGAACGCAUUUCCCAAGAUUAAGUUAUGAGAUAACAAUAUAGAAUUCCCCGUACCACUGCACAGUCACGUUCCUGCUAACACAACUCGAAAAAUUUUUUGGCUUCUUAAACAUAAUUUAGGAUCACAUUAGAUUGAGUAUCCCCACUAUAGAUAAUCUCAAUACAGUACACAUGUAUACAGUUCACAGAACACAAUUCUAGCAGUAAAACAGAAAGAAAAACUUAAACACCCUCGUAAUUCCUCCUUUUUGGCCGACCAUCUCUAUCUCACCACCAUUCAGCCACGGCAAUUGACUUCCGGUGAUGAGAAGAGGCUCCGUUUAAUCUCCGUUUAAGGCCAAGCCCGAAGGUCUCGGUGCUCACCACCCCAAAGCCACUCUUUGCUUCGAUUUUAGCCAAGGAAAUGGGUUCCGACGGCUCAAAUAAGAGGUAAUCUCCUAUUUCUCUUUUUUAUUUUCGAAACUUAAAAGCAAAAUCAAAAAAGAAACAGAAAUCGAAAAAGAUAAAAAUGCAACCUUUUUAAAAAAACACUUCUGUUUGUAUUGUUCUUCUCUAUUCAGAUUUCUAACCUCGUUACAUUCGUUAUAUUCGGUCUUUUAUAGCCUAAAAGAAAAGGAAAAAAUACAAUUUGUUUUUUUUUCUCUUUUCUUUGCUAUCGUUUGUCCUUUCGUUGUGCAGGUACGGAGGUUUUUUUCUGGCAUCUGGUGGCGUACGGGAGCGGCGGUAAGGAGGUGCGCUGGAGAGGAAGAGUAUGCCCACUAUAGAUAAUCCUCAGACCAAGUUUGAACAAAAAUUUAGCCUUUUGUUUUUUUUGCCAGGUCGAGUUGGGCUAGGCUGGACUUAUAUAACAGUCCAGAAAUUUUGUUACAACUAUCGCAUAAUCAUUUCUAGUGCAGAUUAAGUUAAAUUCGAAUUCUUUCAAACUCAUUUGAGUUAAAUUUGGGUAGAAAAGUAACGUUACGCUUUGAGUAAAGUCAAGUUCAAUCAAAUAACAUGUUAUAUUUUAUUUAAAUUUGACCAACGAAUAAAUUUAAUGUUUCAAGAUUGGAGUGAAAUGAUUAAAUGUAAAGGUGAGCAAAAUUCGAUUCGAUUCGAAAAACUUCAUAAAAAUUUAAAGUUUUAGUAGAACAAUUCAUGUUAAUCAAGUUAUUUAGAUCAACUCGAAUAAAAUAAAUGAAAUUUUUUAGUUUAACUCAAAUGUGAAUUACACAAUUCGAGUUAUCCAAAAAUUCGACUAAGAAAAUGCAAAACUACGUCAUUUUUAUAAAUGUUUACAUUUUUUAAAGUUAAAAGUCAAAACCAUUAAAUUAAAAGACAAAACUAUUUCAUUUUGAUAAAUGUUUAUCUACUAACUUAAAUGGUAAAAUCAUUAUAUUGUUUAUGUAGUUAAAUAAUCAUAUACUUUGUCUACUAGUUAAAUAAUUGGUCUAUAUAAACACAACAUUGAGCAUAAAUAAUAGGAUUUGUUAACUCGACUCGACUUGACUCAAAAUUUUUUGACUCGACUCGACUGAAUACUCACCCCUAGUUGAAUGAACUCUAAUAAAAUGCAAUAGAAGUUUAUGCCUAAUAAAAUUAAAUUUGUUAGUUUGGUAUCCUAUACACUCCAAUUGAAAUUGCUUUUAAAAGAAAAUGUUUUAAAAUUGUUGAGGCACUUGUAAGACCAACGACACCAAGUAUUUACAAUUAUGUCGAUAACUACCCAAGGUUUUAUAAGUUGUCGUAUUUGAAGUUAGCAAUUUUUUAAAACAGUAUAGUUGGGCCAUGAAUUAUUUGAUAUUAUGGACAUGUAUUAGUUCAUAUUUGAAGAUUGCUAUUAUGAAGCAACAAAUUUUUAAAAAUUGGAUUUAUUUAAAUCAAGCAAAUUGGAUCUACUGUUUCGUGGAGAUUAAUUUGAAUGGCUUCAAAACAUAUCUUAGAGAUUUUUUAUUUAAAUCAACCAAAAAAUAUUUUUAUAACACUUAAUUAAAUCAAAUAAUUAAUCUAUAUGCAAUAAAUUAAUAUGGGAAGUCACUAAAUUAAAAAAUAGAUAACAGCUACUUACCCAUUUGAAGUUGUGAGAAGACCAUUGCAAUUGAGUUCCAGUGUAAUGCCCCUAACCCGUAUCCGUCGCUAGAACAGGGUUUGGAGUAUUACCAGUAAAUACAGAACAUUUACAGAAUAAUCAUGUCAUUUACUAUUCAUUUAACGAGAACAAUCAUAACAUCCCUUGAUUGGACCCUCGAAGCCCAAUACAAACAUUAGAAGCGGGUCGGGACCAAAUCUGAAACUCAAAGAAUUUUUCGCAAAAUUUUAAAAUUUUUCUUAUGAACAAUACCCACAUGCCUGUGUGGUCAGGCCGUGUGGCUAGUGACACGCCCAUGUCUAGCCCGUGUGAUGCGAAAGAUAAGUCACACGGUCGUGUUGCUAGGUCACAUGACCAUGUUGUUGGUCACACGGCCGUGUCGCUAGCCUGUGUAACUCUCUGACUUGUAAAUAUUAAGGUGCAAUUUUUACAUAGCCAGGCUACACGUCAAUUUCUUUUUCAAAAAUUAGGUGCAGACUUCAUACGACCAUGACACGGAAAACCAUGACACAUGCCCAUAUUCAAGGCCGUGUCAUCCAUACGGCUGAGACACACGCCCGUGUCUCUGCUCGUGUGCUCAAUUUUGAGCAUUCUGUUUUGCAAAUUUGAAAUACAGAGGACACACAGCCAGAUAACAUGCCCAUGUAUUGUGUCUACCCGUGUAGAAAAAAUAAGGCCAUUCCUAGCCUCAUUUCUCACCCAAAACUUGUCAUUUUUCCUGCACCAAUAUUUACAAGUAGAAUCCAACCAAUUCAAACAUAAUUUUAAUUAAUAUCCAUCAACCAAUUUGUUUCAUCAUCUCAUAUAUCCACACUUAUAAGCUUACCUUAUAUAGUUUGCAUCAUUGAUUGUCAUAUUGAACUUACUUAACAUGUGAUAUUUAUCAUAUUAAGAACUCACAGCAUACCAAAAACAACUAUUACUAGCCAUCCCAAUGGCUAGUUUAUAUUCAUCAUUUACAAUUUAGACCAUAUAACCUAUACAUGCCAUUAUACCAAAAUCAAGUUUAUCAUUUAUACCAAAAUCAAAGGGUGGAUAGUGUGAUGAUUUCCUCCGACCAAUCUCCAACCUUCGCGAGCCUUAGAGCACUAUAAAAUAGGGAAAAUAAAACCUAGUAAGCAUUUCAUGCUUAGUAAGCUCGUAUAACAAGAAUUAUACUUACCAUUUAUAUUCAACAUAUUAACCAUACAUUUCAUGUUUUUCAACAACUUGGCAAUUUGCCUAAUCACAUACACUCAACCAAAUGAGUUAGUUUCAAACACCAAUAUGCAUAGAUGAGCUCAUCAUGCCACAUUCACAAUCCAUUUCAUCUUUUCCAUGUCACUUAUUUACUAUUUCCAUUGAAUUAUCGACUUUCCGAUGGAUAUUUCCAAUUGUACAGAUGAGGUGCACAAUUUCAUUAUCCGUUAAUUCAUAUCCAGUAGUACCUUUUAGGUACACUCUCGAGCCACAUAUUAUAUAGUAGAAUUACCAUCCAGGCUAAAUCCUUGUAUGACAAUGAAUUCCCUAUAGAGUCCAAUUUGGAUUACCAAUCCAGGCUAAAUCCUCAGUCAAUUAGGAUUACAAGUCCAGGCUAAGUCCUAAUUGAAACACAUAUUCUUGAGAGCCCAUUUCAGAGGAUUACCCGACCAAGCUAAAUACUUUUAAAUGAUGAGAGCAAUAGAUUACUUGUCCGAGUUAAAUCUUUUCUGCAACUCAUGCAGGAUCUCAUUUCACAUCAAGAAUCACGUAUCCAUCGGGAUUCUGUAUUCAAACGGAUUAUAACCCUUUUUCAAUCAUUUUACAAUCUCUUACAUAUUUCUUAUCAUUCCAUAUUCAUGCUUCAUGUACAUAUAAUUCACAUAUCAAGUCAUAUACAAUUCAACAAUCAAACCAACACAUUUUCAUGCUUAUUUAAGUUAUACGAACUUACCUUGAUAAUUGUUCGUAUCUACUAAUCCGAAACUUUCUCUUUCCCUCGAUCUUUCUCUUUAUUUGGUACUUCGGAUCUAUAUAAAUUAAUUUAAUCAUCAAUUCCAUACAUUUCACAUUCAAUUGAACCCAAUUCACAUUUUAGGCAAAAGUAUCAUUUUUCCGUUAAACUUUUAAUUAAUUCCAAUAGGCUCGGAAAAUAAAGUUCAUGCAAUUUACUCCUUAUUCCAAGCCUAAUCAAAAUUCUAAUAUAACUUUUACAGCACAUGUAACAUCCCGAAAUAGGGCCUAAACGGAAUAGUGGUUGCGAAACCACAAAUCCGAGGUAGAAAAAUUUAUUUUAUUAUUAUUUUGAGGUUCAUGGUAUGAUUGCAUGAUUGUGUGAAAAUUUCGUGAUGAAAUUCUAUGCAUAAAGUGCUUAAGUUGAGGUUAUGGACUAAAUCGAAUAAUUUGCAAAACUUGCAUUCUAGAAGUUUUUAGUAUGAAAUUACUUUGGAAUAUUAAUUAGGAGGGUUUAAAUAACAAUUUGACUAAUUUUAAGUUCAUGGACAAAAAUUAGGACAUGGAAGGAAUUUUUGAAAGUUUAGUAAGGAGGGGUAAUUUGGUCAUUUAGAUAUUAAAUGAAUUAAAAAGGGAAAAAUAACACAAAAAUGGUCAUCUUCUCAAUUAGUUUCUGCCGAUUUUUGCUCUCCUCCAUAGCUGGGGUUUCUUCAACUUUCAAGCUUCAUAGUAAGUGAUUCCAAGCCCCGUUUUUAAUGAUCUUUACGUUUUUGGAGUCCCGGUAACUUGAUUAAGCUUGUUCUAGCAAUAAUUCAACCUAGGGUUCAUAUUUGGAAAAAUACCCAUGGCUGAAAUUUGUGUAUUUUGCUGUUUUAUGAUAGAAUAUGAGGUUUUAAAUUAUGUUAAACAACUUAUGCUACUUGGUUUUAAGUGAAAACGAGUAAAAUGGCUUAAAUUAGAAAAAAAUACCAAUAGUCAUAAGUAUAUGUUAGAGUGUGAUUUUGAUAUUGCCAUAGAAGGGAAAAAUGAUCAGCAUGUCAUAAAACAUAAGAAAAUAGGAUGAAGUUUAAUUUACGAGCCUUGGGGAAAAAGUGCAAAUAUGUGAAAGUUUAGGGGUAAAAAUAUAAUUUUGCAAAAGUUUGGGUCAAGGACUGUUUUAAUAAAUGUGAAUAUUAAAUAAGUUAAAUUUGCUAUUAUAGAUAAAGAAGAAUGAAAUUCGGGAGUAGAUCGGGGAAAAGAAAAAGUAAAGGACUAAAUUGUAAAGUUUAGUCACAUUUUGUAUCAAGGUAAGUUACAGUAAAUAAAUGCAAUAUUCUUUUAUUUUACAUUAUUAUUGUCAAUUUCCAGCAUUUAUAUAUUUAUGUUAUGAAAAUAUUUAAAGUCGAAUUUAAGGUGAAGUGACAGAGGAAAAGUGUUAGAAAGCCCCGGUUGAACCUUAGGAAUGUUAGGAUAUUUGGGUUGACAGGACAGAACAGAAAUGAGCCAUGUAAGUCCAUAUUAGAAAUAUGGAUUUGGAGACAGGAUUGAGCCAUGUAAGUCCAUAUUAUAUAUGGCAUUGGAGACAGGAAUAAUUCAUGUAAGUCUAUGUCAAAGACAUGGCAUUGGCAGGAUAUUGAUAGACAGGAACGACCCUAGUAUCCUUAGUAUUCCGAGUGGUUCAACGGGUCAGGAUACGAGUUAAAUUACAGUGAAUUAACAGCAAAGGAAAAUUAUAUUAUACUUAUGAAAAAGGAAAGGUCAGGUAAGAAAGAAGGUAAGGGAAUAAAGAAGAAGAUAGAAAUUGAGAAGUAAAGAAAUUUAUGGUGUUAGAUGAUAUUAUGCAUAAUUAUCCAUUAUGUUGAAUGUUGUGAUUUAUUUGCUUGUAAGCUUACUAAGCCUAGUGCUUAAUCUCUUUAUUUUCUUCUUCUUAUAGUACUUAUCUAGUCACUCGGGGAUCGAAGGAAACGUUGGAGGCCGAUCACACUAUCAAAGAAAUAACUCGAUAUAACUAGACGUUUUGUUUUGGAUAUGGCAUGUAUAGAAACUUAGCUACUUUUGGUAUAAUAUGAAUAAUGAAUGAUGUGUAAAUACUUGCUAGUGAUUAUCUAAUAAAAUAGCCGUUGAUAUACAUGUUUAUUAAUAUGUAUGAUUGAAUGAUGAUUAUCUCAUGAAAAUUAUGAAAAAUGUGAAAGUAACCUAAAAACAGAUUCAAGUAAUAGAAAUGACGUAACUUUGAAAAAUCACUAAAAAUUGUAGAAAUAUAUUUUUAAGAUGAAUAAUAUAUUAAAUUAAAUAUUAUUAUGUAUAUUUUCUUAUGGAAUAAGAAAAAUAGGUAAAGAUAUUAUAUUUUAUGAGAUAUUUGAGUUUUAGUGAAACAGGGUCAGAGCGAUUUUUAGAUCCCCUAUUUUAACUUUGGAAAUUCACCAUAAAUUGUAAAAAAAUAAUUAGAAGGUUUAAUUUAUAUGUUUAGAAUCCUUGUUGAAUCUAGUUUUGAGAGAAAUAAACGGCUUAGUCAUAUGAAUUUUGUACAGGAAUAAAAAUUGUUUGAAGUAAGAAGAGGUCACUGCAGUCGAGUUUUGAAACAGGGGAAACUUUAACUAAUAAACUAUACUAAUUGGACAAGUCAAAAUUUCUAGAAAAAAAUUAGUAGAUAGAUAUAUUAGUCUAGUUUCAGGAAAAAUUUAUGGAUCUUAAUUUUGAAUUUUGAAACUCAAGAAAUGAAUUUUUAAGCAACCAUGAUGCAGAAAAACAGUUUACUCCAAAAAUUAAAAUAAGUGGUUUAGAGUUGUUUAAAAGGUAAGAUAAGUUUAGUAACACCUCAAGCCUGACUCCGGUGACGGUUUCGGGCGUGGGGGUGUUACAGCACACAUAUUUAAUAAAAUACAGAAUUUUUCCAUGAAUUUCAUCACUUAUCAAUUUAGUCUCUAAACAUGUUUCCAUUAAAAAAAUCACUUUGGAAAAAUUGUUUAUCUAUCAACAACCUUUCAAUUUCUACCAUAAAAUUUUUCUACCAUAAACUUUCAAUUUUCAGCAUAUUCAUCCAUGGAAAAUUUUCUUUACUUUAAUUUCUUUUCAAAUAAAACCCCAAAAUAGAGAAAUUAGACUUUCUCAAUUCCAAAAAUAUGAAAAUUACAAAAACCGAGACUAGAAACUUACCAAUUCAAGCUUGAAAAGUUUCUUUUCUCUCUCCUAGGGUUUCCAUGUAUUUUUUAUGAAGAAGAUGAUAUAAAAUGAUAUUAAUUUCAUUUUAAUCAUUUAUCAUCUUUUAAUUAUUUUUAUUUCCAAUUUAGUCCUUGCCCUUUUUCUAAUUUUCCAUGGAUGAUUCACCAAAAAUAUCUACAUAGUUUUCAUCAAUGGUCUAAUUGCCACACAAGGACGUUACAUUUUGAAUUUCAUAGCUAUUUGAUCCUUAUAGCCACUAGAAUUCAACUUUAACAUUUUAUGCAAUUUAGUCUUUUUUGCAAUUAGACACAUAAUCAAUAAAAUUUUCCUAUCAAAAUUUUCAUGUAAUCUUCUUAUCAUAUUACCAAUCAUUUCAUGAAAUUAAAAUAAUUUUAUUUUUUGGACUCGGAUUUGUGGUCCCGAAACUACUAUUCUAAUUUUACUAAAAUUGGACUGUUACAUCUAGCACACUAGGCUGGGCUAAUUCCUAGAUUGCUACAACUAAGUGGAUAUAAAGCUUUUAAUAAAAUCCUCAAAAUUGUUUCUAAAAAAUUUAAUGGUUUUCUAAUUGUGACAUGGGAAGCAACACCAGAACAUGGGGAGUUCAUCUCACAUUUAUGUUUCUAUUCUGUUAUAAAGUUUUAAUGAGUGUGAUUAUGGGUAAGGAACGGUAGUUGCCUCCGGCUAUCAGACUCAUUGAGCUAAAUACUACAUAUGAUGGUGAGGGGUGGGGCUAGAAUAGUUGGAGUCUGGGUUGAUUUUAUACGUGGUAUUAAUAUUAUAUAUAACCAUUUAAAAAUAUUUGGUUAGAUAAACCUCAAUUUAUACUAAAUUUGUCCAUAUCAAUACAUAAUUAACACAAAUUUGCCGCAAGGCAUUUGCCAUGGUGGAUCACUUGAAUACUUCACAGCAGAUAACAACCAGCUGACUAGGCCAAUCCCUCAAGGGUUAAAAUUUUGCACUAGCUCGAAGAGAGUCUGCCUUGAAAAAAACUGACUUAGAGGGAAUAUAUAUAAAUAUUUAGGUGUUUACCCGAACCUAAAAUUCAUUGACUUGACAAUGAAUUUCAAGGUGUAAUUCUGCCCAUUGGAGGUUGUGCAAAAGUUGACAUCUUUGCUUUAUCUUGGUUUGAAUGGGAACAAACUUUCUGGUAAUGUACCCUUGGAACUAGGUCUUAUGUCCAAGCUUUUGUAUCUAGACUUGUCUGCAAACCAAUUGAGCAAGUCCAUCCUUGAAACUUUCAGGUUAAAAUAAUCGGCAAAAUAUCUCUACUAGUACUUGUAUUUUAUGAAAAUUGCGAAUUUAGUUCCAAUACUGUAAAUUGGGUUGGGUUUAUAAAUUAUACUAAAUUAGGUUUAUAGUGGGUAGGACUUAGGAGUGCUGGGGUAAGCCGCUGGUUAGGGAUUAGAUGGGCAGUAGGCUAAGCAUAAUACAUAUAAUAUAUGAUAUUAGUUAUUAAGUUCGAUUAAUUUGGUUAAUUGCUCGCUUUCGAGCCAAAUUAACCAAUACUGUAUUUUAUGAAAAUUGCGGAUUUAGUUCCAAUACUGUAAAUUGGGUUGGGUUUAUAAAUUAUACUAAAUUAGGUUUAUAGUGGGUAGGACUUAGGAGUGCUGGGGUAAGCCGCUGGUUAGGGAUUAGGUGGGCAGUAGGCUAAGCAUAAUACAUAUAAUAUAUGAUAUUAGUUAUUAAGUUCGAUUAAUUUGGUUAAUUGCUCGCUUUCGAGCCAAAUUAACCAAUAACUGAACUUUUAAAAAAUUAUUAACCAACAUCUAAUCGAAUUAAAUUAGUAAACUGACCGAUUAAUUUUAACUGAAAUUUAAAUACCCCUAAAUCUGUUACUCUAAUAUGAAGAUCUUUAAAAAAAAUUUUCUAUAAAUGUAUUUGUUUCAAUAGAAUAUAUAUUUAAAAUGGUAUAAAAAAAAGUAUGAAUUUGUCAAAUUCAUAUAUACCUUAGGAACCCAAAUCAACUAGUUAUUAGGAAUCCAACAAAUUCUUGUUUUUAAGAAAUAAUCACUCAAUCUGUAUAUAUGUUAUAUUUUGUAUAUAUGUUAUCACUCAAUCUGUAUAUAUAUAUUUUUUAAAUUCAAAUCCAAAAUUUAAAACUAAGUUCCCAAAUCCUACAAAAAUUGGAUAGUAAAAUAAUUCCAAAUAUAACAUUCAUGAUUAUAUCUAAAUCCAGCGAUUUGUUAAAUGCUUAUUUAAUAGAAAAUUCAAAUUUCUUAAAUUAUUUAGGGCUAAUAUGCAAAAUUACGUGAAAUUUAAAAUUUACCACUAUACAUUACUUUCAUCAAUAUUUUAAAAUUUUAAAAAAUUUUAUAGGGCUAUAACAAUUUUCUAUUUUAGAGGUUUGACCCCCUGCCAACCCCUAGAUUCGUCUCUGCCAACCCCUGGAUUCGUCUCUAACCACGAAAGUUUAAUUUAAUUUUCAAAUGCAUUUAUUUAAUUUAAAAAAUAAAAAUUCAAACCACGUAAUGAGUGUUAUUUGAAGGGCAAGAGAGAUAGCCUUAAGAGAACUGAAUAAAGUGCAAAAUCACAAUACUGUAUGGUUUUAACUUUGUUAAUAUUUCGGUUUCCAAAAAGAAAACACCCAAUUACAUGAACAACUUCAAAGUUUUAACCAAAAUAAUUGACCGCGUCUUCAAAGUCUCUCUUCACCAUCAACAUGGGUCUUGACUCAACUCCAUGCACCAACACGUUUCAGCUGAGGCCUAAAAGGGAGAGAAAAAAUAUCUGAGAUUAAGAAUAUAAUUUUAUAUCAUUGCAGCGAAAAUUGAAGGCUCAAGGGACAAAAACCAAAAAUUGAACCCGUAGACGUUAGAAUUAUAAUGAAUUAAACCCUUUUAUCAUUAAAGUUAUCCAUCAAAGUUACAAAGCCAAAAAUGCCAUUUUUUUUGCUGGUUGAUUUCACCACAUGGCAAAAACUAGCAUUUAAUGUAUAAAACAUUAAAAAAAUCAACAAACAUUUAUAAAAAGUCAUAGAAAAUCGUAUAUACACAUAUCUAUCAGCAGACCACAUCAACAGGCACCAAAUGAGCUAUAAAAAUCAACAUUGUUAAUAAAAAUAAAAGCUUCCAUGACCUUUUACAACAAUGAAAAGUGAGUAAGAUUAUUAUUAUUAUAGCUCACAACUACCAACAAAACAAACACAUCAGAGAAACGAUCUCCAUAAUCUAUUAUGGUUUUUCAGAUAUACAUCUGCAGUAUGCAGCAUUCGUCUUCCUAUGUAAUUCAUUCCAUUUUCAUUUUUGACUUCUUACGUGUUGGAGCUUCAUCAAUCAAGCACGCAAGAACAAAAUCAAAGAAACGAGGAAAAAACAAUACAGAUAUAAUUAUCACUCCCAAACCUUUUCACAUUCCAAGAAAACAUACGAUUCAUAUGAUAUACAAAACCGGAAAUAGGAUGGCAAAAUAUUUAACAAGAAUUUCCAAAUAAACAUUUUUGUCCCCUACUAAUUACUUUUUCUCUACUUCAAAUUCUCUAGUUGUAGGACUAAGUAAUUCCCAUUUAUUAGAGUUAUAUUCUUAAGUAAUAUUUUGUCCACUCUCUUACUGAUUUCAACGAGCUAAUAGCUCACUUAGUAAUCAUAUUCACUAUCUCAAAUCAAAUUCAGCCUAUUGAAUAAAUCUAUCCUCACUUAGGGUGUGUUUGGACAUAAUAUGUCUAUUUUAGACAUAAUAUUAUAAAGUAACAAAUAUGUAUUUAAAUAAUAUUUAAAUUAGUUAAUAUUAUGAUAUUUUAGCAAUAAUAUAAAAUAAUUUAUUAUAACUUAUUGUUAAAAAAUUAAUAUAUAAUAUUAAUUUUAAAUAUUUCUAUGUAAUUAAUAUUAAUUAUUUAUUAAAUUUAAUUAGAAUAUAUAAACUAUAUUAAAAUAUUAUUUGUAAUUAAAUAUUGAUAGAAUUGUAUUAUUUUAAAAAUUAUUUUUUUAUUUUUAAUUAAUGUUUUUAACACAUUUGUAUUAUUUUAUUUUAAAAUAUACUAUGAAUAUAUAAUUCAUAUUAGAUAUUAACAUAAUAUAGAAAACAUAAACCUAACAAAUUAAAAUAUUACAUAUAUUUAGAUUAAAGUUUCAAAAAUGGAUAAUAUUUAUAUACCAAAUAUAAAUACUAAAAAUUUUACAAUAGUAUCAAUUUAAAGUGAAUUCAUUAAACUAGAAGCUAUAGCAUCUCUUGUUAAUUCCAUUUCAAAAUCACUUGAAUUGUUUGAUUCACCGUCAUCACCAUCAUCAUCGUCGUCGUCAUCAUCAUCACUUUCUCGACCAUGCGCUUUUUCACCUUUCUUUUUUGCUCUAUAUUUGUGUUUAAUAAUAGGAAAGAUAAAGAUGGGAGCUCUUUAGACUUCAAAUGAUUUAAAAAUAAUAUUCUUGCAGGAUAUCAAGACUAAACCAUGGCCAGCUAGUCAAAAAUCAUGAAAUUGCAGCACCACUGCUCAUUGUCAAACAAACAAAUCAAACGUAUUUGAAUUCCACAAUGGUUAAGAAUAUACCUUUUUCCUCGUGUUCAUAAACUGCAAAAACAAAAAAGAGGCACCUAAAUUAAUAGUGUACAUUAGUUGACUUGUAAAAUGAAGUUUUCCUUUGUUAUUUUUAGUGCCAUCAUAACACUUACAAAAGCAAUAUCUUAGACGCAGAGCACUAAAAAUACACAUCUAACCAUUCCAGAAACCACAGUUUAACAUUCAGGAGGUUAUAUUUGUAUGCAGUCUAAUCUCAUGUCUCAUUAUAAACGCUUUUAUGGAUCAUUACUGCUAUAUGACGGACACUGAUAAAAGUUGGUAAGUGGUAAGAAUUAGCAGUAAUACAAAGCAAACAACCUAAUGUGAACCAUUUACUAGCUUAAUUCCAUCCUUACUUAGCUUAAUCUUACAACAUUUACUAGCAAUUUCAAGGUCAAAGCAGAUUUGGUCAAAAGCAUUUUAUCAAUUUUCCUUUUAAGUUACAAUUAGCAUUGAAGCUGACAAGUAACACCUUCCGAUUUAGUUAACUCAAUACUCCCCUUAAAUCCAUACAAUUAAACCAUGAUUUCAACCAUUAAUACGAAGAAAUAUACACAUUAACAAUUAAAUACGAGGCAUAAACUUUAUCAUAUUAAAAAUAAAUCGAAAGAAAAGCAAAACAAAACUUCACCCACAUCGUCAAUCAACCCUACACUGCACCCUCGUCCUCCCCUUUUCUAUUCAAAAAAGUGCCAAGGCAGUGACUUGUCGAGUAGCUAAUAAUAAAACAGAGCACAACAAAAAAUAGCCAACAUACUAGAGAAGAGUUCCAAUACCAGUACCAAGACCAUAACAGUGCAAAAGAAACUCGGGCUCUCAAAUCAGAAUGAAAAGGAUGAGCUGCUGAGCAAGGGAGCGAAGGCAGAAGAAAGGUUUACAGAGAAGAAAUAUGCAGAUCCCUUCGAGAAAGAACAAACGGAUGGGAAAUCCAACAAGUUGGUGAAUAAUAAAAACAAAAUCACGCCCAAUUUAUUAAGGUGCCGACUCAAAAAUCACAAUCCCAACAACUUAAAAAAGAUCAUACAGCUGGGUGCCACGUGUUAGAAAACAAAAAUAUGGGUAAAUGAAAUCACCAGGAAAUCGUGCCCUCCAGACCCCAGCAGUGCAGAAAAUAAAAAUAAAAGCAUAAUGAACAAUUAGAAGAAGAAGAGAAGAAAAAGAUAAACUCACCGGUGGAGAAGAGAAGAGGAACAAAGAACCAAACCAAAAUGGGUAAAAGCAAAAGAGAAAAGCUGAAAGAAAUGUGAAAAAAUUAGAGUAUAUUUCAUAAUUAUUUCAUAAAAUCAAACAAUCAGAAAAUAAAAACUAAAGCAUAAUGAAAAAUUAGAAAAAGAAGAGAAGAUACAGAGAACAAUUUCAGACAAAGAAUUGGGAAAGUUCUACCGUGAAGGAGAUAGGUUAAAACGGUAAAAUACCAACCCAAAUGAACUUCAGGCUUGGAAAACCUAAAAUAAAUGGCUUUUUCAUCUGUAAAAAAGGCCUUAAAUUAAGUUAAAAAAGUUUCCAAACUGAUAGUUGUUCUUCAUUGCUUUUCAGAUAAAAGCACUUUUUUGGGAAAAAGUUCAUCCCAAAAGUAAUGAAGAACAAGGCCUUAGUAAUAGUUAUAUUUUCUGCAUUUUCAUCUUGCUUCUUAUCAUAUGCAUGUUGCAAAAAUUUCUGUUCAGGAAGAUGAGGAAACCUUGUAAACCAUUAAAACAAUAUGUUGCACGAAGACAGAAAGGAAGACUAAAAGGAACAAGUGCGGUGAUGAAGGUUGUACGUUCCCAAGACCAGUUAAAUCAUGAUGGUCGUACCAAUCGUACAGAAUUUCUUGAGAGCCAAACCUUCAUCUCUGGGACAACUGUAUAGCCUCUUCGAGUGAAGUUAAAAGGGCUGGGAAUUUAUUAGGAAAGCACUAAUAUGAAAGUAACACCAAUCAUGAGUAGUGGGAGAGACGGAGGUUAUCAAAACUAAUUUGGGGGGGAUCGAUGUCAUGUAGAAGUUACAACCUAAGUAAUAGUUUGGUCAUAGGUAGGCCUGCUCACAAGUCGAGCCUAGACAGGAUACUAACACCUUUCACGUUUGGCUAAGGCCCUGACCCAGCACAAAAUAUGGGCAAUAUCAUUCGACUAGACCUAACCCUAAUUACAAAAAGGGAGCCAUUCUUGGCCCAACACAACCCACCCAAAUUCUUUUUCUAAUUUUAUUUAAGUGGCAGUCAAGCUUUACUUUGUUUACUUAUUGUUCAAGGUUAUCAUAGUCCUUAUCAAUAUUGACAUUUUUACUGUGGUAUCCAUCACCGACAAAAGGACAUCAUUUUACUAAAUCUUCACUUGCCUAUAGGUAAUAACCUCGCUCUGAUAUUUUAGGCAGAAACAUUGUCAUAGUCUACCAACUUCCUAAGUAGGAAUUUAAGCCUUUGUUUAGAUCAGGAUAUUUUAUUUUCUUGUUGGAACAAAAAACUAGAAGCAACUAUUGGGGCCUAGGGGUAAGGCAAGACAGAACUUGAGUUCUAGUUCUCUAAAGGUGCUAGGAGCCUCGUACCCAUUUAAAACAACAAAUAGAGCAGACAUUUUCACACAAUGCAAAUCCAAUGCCUGAUUCGUCUACUCCGUACCUUAGCAUUACUCAAGUUUUAUACAGGAAGUUCCAGGCUCACUAUCAACUUCUUAGCGACAAGAAGAGCAAACAAAAUGCAAUGACAAGCAGUAUUGGCAAAUGAAAAAUCCGUCAAUUCACAAGGAUGGGAAUAAUUAAGAUAUGGUAGUGAUCUGAAUGGGGCACUAACCUUCAUUUAGAGCAAUCCAAAUGUAAUGGCAAGCAGCAUUGGCAAAUGAAUAAUUAUCAUGUAGUAUUGAUAUGAAGGGGGCUCUAACCUUCAUUCAGAACAACCAUAUACUAGAAAUAUCUUCGCGAUAUGAAACAGUGGUCGCAAAUUGAUGCUCUACAGCUGCAUGAAUCCCUCCCUGCUCGUUGCACCAAAUAUUAAAUCUUAUGUACUCAAAAUGCUCAUGGAAAAGGUUGACCCAACCCAAAAUAAGCUUGCCAUUGCCCAACCGAUACAGAGUGCCAUUCGGUGGUGGAUUCACUGAAAAUUCUGAUGACCAUUUGACGGGCAAAUGUUUCUUAUCAAGCAAAUUAUACGCCUCCAAAGAACGGAACUUACCAGAAUAAUUAUAAAUGACAGUAUACAGGACAUCGUCCACGAUUGUCGCUGAGUCAGACCAGUAACAAAAUUUUUGUUCGAGGCAAAUCCAUGAUUUACGAUCAUAGUAAUAAGCGUAAAGAGUAUCAUUGGCAUUGCAGUGCACCAAAAUCCGAGAUCGGGAAGAAUCUAGAACAGGAACACAUAGAUCGAUAGCUUUCGGAGGGGGCGACAAUGGUUCCCAAAUAUCCCCACUUAUAUCGUAAACCUCGCCAAAAUAUUCAGAACCCAUACCUUCGAAGACGUAAAUCUUUCCUUCAGCAGCAAGAACCAGGGGAAAAGCCCGAGGGAACAACAUAGAAGUAUUUUUCUCCACCCACGUUCAAGGUCCUUCAAAUCUAAUUGGAAAACAUCGUUUACUUCAUCAUAACCACGAAGACUAGCAUCAUUUUCGCGUAUUCCCCCAAUAACAUAAACGUGGUUGCCACAGGCAACGACAGUGGAACCUGAAGGAGCAUCAGGUGGCAUCGCCCUAAUAAAGACUUUAUUGCUUUUCAGAUCAAUAAAGUGCAAACCGAGCGCUGUUUUACCAUCGGUACCUGGGGAUUUCUCAACGAGGGCCCUGAUCAGUUCAUCUGGCUCUCGCCCAUCAAAGUAACUGGAGGAAUCACUAGUAUUGCCGCUCAUGGUUCACCCUUAGCUUCGCCUUUCCAGAUCCAAAAUCGCUUUUAGUUUUAGGGUUUCUAGCUUCGGGUUAUUUCCUUCUUGUUUUUUUUUGUUUUUUUAAUUUGGCUUGGGUUUAAUAGUCAUAGACAAAAAAAGAUUUAUAGUUAAAUAAAUUUGUUGACAAGUUAUUCAGCUAUCUGUUCCAAGAAGUAAAAGGUUGAUAAUUUUUUUUAAAAUAGUAAUUUGCUUGUUUUAGUUGUAAAUUUCCAAAGUAAAGUAAAGAUAUUGGCAAUAUGUGACUGUUUAUAUUUUAAAAUUAUUUACUAAUUAUGAUUAUUUUUAAUGAAUAUAGAAUAAUAUUAUUUCGCAUCAAAUAUUAGAGAUUUGUUGAAAUUUGAUCAAUUAUUGGAUCAAUUGAAUAAGGAGUUGAUAGGUAUACUAAUUUGAAUAAGAUAAAAAAUUGGUUGGCAUAUUGAUAUGAACAAGUUGAAUAGAAUUAAAUUGAUGAUUAAACCAAGUUUUAUAAUUCUUUAUUAUUUACUUAAUAUGAUGGUUUAGAGUAUUAAAAAAGAUGUGGAAAUGUAAAGUUUAAAGUUUUGGUUCUUUUUUUUGUUUAUUCAGUAAAUAAAAAUGUUGAUUUUUUAAGCUGGUAGCUUUGUAUAUAUAUAUUGCUUUGCAUUUGCUUUCCGCGAUAAUUAUAUUUGUAGGUGUUUGGCUAGCCUCCAAAAUCCAACAUUAUUUUUUAUACGAGUUUCCUCUUGUGGUUUUCACUGCACUUUAUCUUUAUUCACAUAGUUUCCCUUAAUUGGUUAGAUGCGUUGCAUUGGACUCCCAUCUUUGAUAGUAAUGUUAUUCCUUUCUCAAAAUUUUGACAGCAACUGGUGCUUAUGAUAAUAGUGUUUAAAAAACCGAGUUCACCUGUCAUACCGAUCGUUCUGGCCUCAUUAGUGCUGCAUCUUGUCCUUCAGGAAAGCUAGUUCAAAUCGAGCACGCCUUGUCAGCAAUCGAAUCGGGUCAAACAUCUCUUAGAAUUAAAGUUAUUAAUGGGGUGGUAAUUGCUACUUAAAAGAAAUUGCCUUCAAUAUUGGUUUAUUUGUUUAGAAAAUACAAUGUCUAACUCCAAGUGUUGUAGUUGUUUAUAGUGUUGGGCAGGUUAUAGCAUUUUGGAUCAAAUGUAACAUAAAGUCUUUCUAAACUCGGACAAAACUUCAGUAAGCAAAGUAAUGCAUUGAUUGGUUCUCUUUCCAUUAAACAAUCAAUCCACCAAAGCUCUUUUAAUUCGUUCAAAUAACAUUCAAGUCGCCUACUUGAAAAGGCCAUAAUGAUUUCUUUUACAGAGAUCAUAACAACAACGAGAAUGGAAAGGGAGUCUUAGUCUCAAAGUCUCAUGUCCAAUGCGUUAGAGGACAUUGUCUAAUAUCAACCACGACAUCUUCCAAGAAGAACCAACAGUCGCCUCAAAAAGCACUGUUGUCUCUAAACUGAAAAGACAUUAAGUUUGAACAUCGAAUUGAAUAGGGAGCAACAAAAUGAUUUGGUGAAGGAUGUUAUCAGGUAAAUGACUGAUGAAAUCAUUUGGGUCCAUAUUAUUUUCACUUUUUAGAAUAUUGACAUGUUUUUACGAUUUCUCUUGAUUAUUAUGACUGCACUUGCAUCUCUUGAUAUAGGAUAAGUUAUAAAUAGCCUUUGAAGUUGGAUUUUGCAAGUAUAACUAUGGAUUUUGAACAUUGUCGAAUCUGCACUUGUUGAGAUAGUUAUAUUUAUGUUGGUAUCACUUCAGUCAAAUAUGUUUUCCUCCCGCGAGUUUGAUUAUCUGUCACGAUACCUUAGAUCGGAACAAAAUAGUGUUAUUAUACGUGAGCAAUCGGAAAAAGCUACUUGGAAACUGCACAAUAAGAAACAACCUUCGAUUUUUUGCACCACACCUCUUCAGUGAUGGCGUUUUCCAAGUACAAUUUAUUGAAAAUCAGACAUUUAGUAACCUUAUAAAUUUCUUAAAUAUUGCACCAGAAGAUUUCAAUAUGAAUGAGCAUUCAUCUGUUGACGAUGAGGUUUUUGAUGAGAUAGAAUGUCAAAAGAUGCGGAAUAUCCAUUUAAUUAUUCCUCUUUUCUACAAUUUCAUAAAAGUUUUGAUACUAUGAGUUUGCAACUAGGGUGGAUCUUUCAGAAUAUAUGGUCCCAGAUAUGAUUUGAUAUCGAUGUUAUAUGCUACUAUUUGCUUCUCCUCACCUUCCUAAAAGACUUUAGUUUACUAUCUGUGGAGUAUAUUACUGCUCUAUUCUUGUAUGCUCUAUGUGUGAUUACAAAUCUGACUUAUAUCUUUUGGGUUGUCAAGCUAAUAUAUGAUCACGAUUUUUGGCUUUCUUAUGGUUCGCUUGAUUUAAUAUCACGACCUUUGGCUUUCUGACAACCUGUGGACCUACGCAUUCAGUUGAUUAUUAAGGUUAGUAGAGUUAAGCUCGUAACAUCUGAUCUUUUGAGUUAGCAGAGUUAAUCUCUUAAACUUUGAUCUUAUUUACAAACAAAUUAUAUCUUACAGGAAAUACAGUUCGCAAUAUUCUGCAAUAUAAUUAUUGGCUCCUGUAUCACACUAUCAAACAACAAAACUCGCUUGCUAAAGCUUCAAGUUAAAACAUGUAUGAUAAGUCAUAAAUUACAUAACUUUCAUAAAUGUCAGAUUGUUUGAAAAGAGUCAUUUUAUAACUAUUAUUCGAUCAUGUGGGAGACAAAUUCUUAUAUAUUUAUAAUUAAAAUGACCCGACUUAAAAUCUAAUUUGGAAUCCGACCCUAUAUAAUAAAAGGUGAUUGACAUACCAAAAAGAGAUAGCUUCUAGAAAUGUUACUGAAGUUCGGAGAUUUUUGGGACUUGCCGGUUACUACAGACGGUUUGUAAAAGGUUUUUCGAUGAUAGCUACACCAAUGACGAAGCUACUUCAGAAAGAUGUUAAGUUCAAAUGGUCGGAAAAGUGCCAGAAAAGUUUUGACCAACUAAAGAUCUAUUUGACUGAAGCUCCAGUGUUAGUACAGCCUGAAUCUGGUAAAGAGAUUGUCAUUUACAGUGAUGCAUCUUUAAAUGGGCUGGGUUGUGUGUUGAUGCAAGAAGGUCGAGUUGUAGCUUACGCGUCGAGGCAAUUAAAACCACAUGAGAAAAACUAUCCGACCCAUGAUCUCGAAUUAGCUGCCAUCGUAUUCGCUUUAAAAAUCUGGCGACAUUACUUGUUUAGAGAGAAGUGUCAUGUGUAUUCAUAUCACAAAAGCCUCAAAUAUUUGAUGAUUCAAAGAGAUUUGAAUCUGCGACAAAGACGUUGGCUUGAGUUGUUGAAAGACUACGAGCUUGUCAUUGACUAUCACCCGGGAAAGGCCAACGUGGUUGCCGAUGCUUUAAGUCGUAAAACACUGUUUACUUUACGAGUAAUGAAUGUAUACCUGUCCGUGUCAUCCAAUAGUGUGUUAGUAGCAGAAUUAAAGGCCAAACCAUUAUUAAUUCAUCAAAUUCGUGAAUCCUAGAAAGUUGACGAUGAAUUGGUUGCUAAACGAACUGAAUGUGUUUCAAAUGUGGAAUCAGAGUUUCAAAUUGAUGAUGAUGAUUGUUUGAGGUUCAGAAGUCGAUUGUGUGUUCCAAGAAAUUCGAAACUUAUUUUGAUGAUUAUGAAUGAGGUUCAUAAUAGUCGAAUGUUAGUUCACCCGAAUAGUACAAAAAUGUACAACGAUCUGAAACGCCGAUUUUGGUGGUCCGGUAUGAAGCGAGACAUUUUGACUUUGUCUCGAAGUGUUUAAUAUGUCAACAAGUGAAAGCGAAACAUCAAGUGCCUUCAAGAUUACUCCAGCCGAUCAUGAUACCUGAAUCGAAAUGGGAUCGUGUCACGAUGGAUUUUGUAUCUGGGUUGCCAUUGUCAUUAAGUAAGAAAGAUGCGAUCUGGGUUGUUGUCGAUAGAUUGACAAAGUCGGCUCAUUUUGUUCCCGUACGUAUGGAUUAUCCACUUGACAAGUUAGCCGAACUGUAUGUUUCUCAGAUUGUAAGGUUACACGAAGUACCUGCUUCUAUUGUGUCGGAUAGAGACCCGAGGUUCACAUCGCAAUUUUGGAAGAAAUUACAAAAAGCAUUGGGUACCAAGUUGCAUUUUAGCACCGCUUUUCAUCCCCAGACCGAUGGUCAAUCCGACGGAUAAUUCAGAUACUCGAAGAUAUGCUGAGAUGUUGCAUCCUUGAGUUUAGUGGUUCGUGGGAACGGUAUUUACCUCUGAUUGAAUUCGCUUACAACAAUAGUUUUCAGUAAAGUAUUAAGAUGGCACCUUACGAGGUUUUGUAUGGUCGUAAAUGCCGUACACCGUUGUUUUGGACCGAGCUUAGUGAAAAUAAAAUCUUCGGGGUUGAUUUGAUUAAAGAUGCUGAGCAGAAAGUAAAAGUAAUCCAUGAAAGUCUGAAAGCAGCUUCAGAUCGUCAGAAGUCGUAUGCAGAUUUAAAGCGAAAAGACAUUGAAUAUCAGGUUGGAGACAAAGUGUUUCUUAAAGUUUCACCAUGGAAAAAGGUGCUCAGGUUUGGCCGUAAAGGCAAAUUGAGUCCGAGGUUCAUCGGGCCAUAUGAAAUAUCCAAACGAGUUGGACCGGUCGCAUACAGAUUGAUUUUACCCUCUGAGCUUGAAAAGAUUCACAACGUCUUUCAUGUCUCGAUGCUUCGACGUUAUAGAUCCGAUCCAUCGCACAUAAUUAAUCCAUCAGAGGUUGAAAUUCAAUCUGAUUUGAGUUAUGAAGAAGAACCAAUUCGUAUCCUAGCUCGCGAGGUAAAAGAGUUGCGAAACAAAAAGGUUCCGUUAGUAAAGGUAUUAUGGCUCAAGCAUGGGAUCAAAGAAGCUACUUGGGAAUCCGAGAACUCUAUGAAAGAACGAUAUCCUAACUUAUUCACUGGUAAGAUUUUCAGGGACGAAAAUUCCUUAUGUAGAGGAGAGUUGUGACAGCCCUAAUUUGACCCUAGUCGGAAAGUGGUUUCGGGACCACAAACCAAGUCAUAAAAAUAAUUAACCGUUAUAUUCUAUGCUUAUAGUAUGUGUACAUGCAAGUGUAAAAGUUUCAUACUUUAAUUUUGUCAUUUGUAUGUGAAAUUUAUUAAAUAGGACUUAGGUGAGACAAUUGUGAAAUAUGUUAGGUUAAUUUUAAAGUGGCCUAUUAAUGCAUAAAUACAAAAAGAUGGACUUGCAUGUCAAAUAUCUAUUUUUGUUGUGUAAUGGCCGGCCAUAAUGUGGUUUUAUUUAGAAUAUAUGUAUUGUUUAUUAGUGAAGUGGCUUUAUAUUUUAUAGUAUUAAUGUAUAUAAAAAAAUAAUAGAAAAAGAAGUGAUGAAAACAAAGCUUCAUUUUUUGGUUCUUCUUGGUCGAAUUGAAGAAAGAAAAAGGGGCAAGAUUUUCGGUCACUUUAAGCUUAGGGAAGGUUAGUAAAUUAUGUUAGUUUUUGAAAUUUUAAGCUUGAUUUAAGUUAAUUAGAUAGUUUCAUACAUAGCCCAUGUCAAAAUUUUGAAAUUUGGUGAUGAUUUGAGCAUUCGGUUUUGGUUAUUAAAGGAGGAGAUUGGAUUAUAGUCUUUAUGUUUUAUGAAGAAUUGUUGAAGAGAAAGGUUGGAGGUAGUUAAGUUAUAAAUUUUUAAUACUCAUGAGUACUAUAGCCGAACAUAAAUUUACUUAAUGACUUGAACAAAUACCGUGUGGAUGUUUGAAAUGAAUGAAUUUGAUGUUUGUUCAUAUUAGGGGCAUAACUUUUAAGAGUUUGAUUUUGAAUAAUAUGAGUAUUGGAAUGUAAGUAAUGUUAUGCAUAGGUUAAAUUUUUGUAUUCGGCUUUUGUAGUAUAUAUGUAUGAUUAAUCCAUUUUUCUUUUCUUUUGCAAAUGAUAUAUAUAGGGUGAUAAAUAUUAAGACUAUUGUUGACUUGUGUUUAGUGAUAUUCGGCCAAGGACUAAAUGUGCUUGCUUAUUCGGUUUAAGUGAAAUAAAUGUGAUUGGUGGAUAUGAUUAGGUUGUGGUUUAUUAUAGACUUGUUUUGAUUGUAUAAAUUAGCUUAUAAAUUGGUUUGGAAAUAAUAAAUAAUGAGCAUGCUUUGUGGCCGUAAGGAUUAUAUGAUAGUGUUUCGUGACAUUAACUUAGCUAGUCGAAUGGAUGAGAAAUGAAUUGGAUAUAUAGAUAGGUAACAUUGACGAGUUGUUUAGCAUAUGGGUUUUGUAUAUUGGUUCGGCAACUAAGCUAGAAAAUAAUUUUUGGUAACAUGGUAUCUAUGCACAUAUAUAGAUAUAUAUAUAAGGUAUCUUAAGUAUAUUUGUCCAUUUGAUAAGGUUGACUAAUAGUUCAAGUAAGGAUUACUCCAUUCGAUAUGUACAUGAAGUGAAGUAAUAGGUUCGGUAAUCAGCUUAUGACAUACGGGUCAUAUCAUAUGUUCGAUUAUAAGUUAAAUACUCGAUAGUUGUGGUUCAUUGGAUAUAAUGUUUGAAUAUCGUUUUGGAAGAAAAAAAAAUAUGAUCGGUUGCCUAUUAAUUAAUUUGAAAUGAAUCAUAAAAAAAUUUGAUAUUUGUAUUUAGUAAAGUUGAAUAAGUCAUUAAAUAAAUCUAUUUGUUUUAAUUAAGCUCAAGAGCAAAGAGGGUCUAAAUCAGAUAAGGGAAAGGAAAAAGCAGUCGAGUAGCCUAUCCGCAACUGUUCAAAAUAUCCAAGGUAAGUUUUGAGUAGUUUCCUUUAAUAUAUAAUUGAUGCUGGUUUAUAAGAGUAUAAUAGGUGAAUUGAAAUUUAGUUAGCACUUGUACAAAGUUGUUUAAUAAACAAUGCGUGUAUAUGACUUUGAGGUCGAUGGUAACUUUGAGUUUAAGCUUGAAUGGCGAAAUGAUUGUGUGAUAUUAGGUAUAAUUUUUGAGUUGAAAUGUUAUUGAUGAUGUGCCUAUUGAACUUAUAUCCGAAUGUAUUAAAUAGUUACUAAGUGAUAGGUUGAUUGAGAUGUGUUAAAUAUAUAACUAAGUAUGCAUGGUAUUGGAAAAAUAUCCGGACUUAAAGUCCGCAGGCUUUAUGCUGGAAAUAUAUCCGGACUUGAAGUCCGCAGGCUUUAUGCUGGAAAUAUAUCUGGACUUAAAGUCCGCAGGCUAAGUGCUGGAAAAAUAUAUGGGCUAAGAACCCGCAGGCUCAUGCUAGUAAUGUAUUCCGAGCUCUGAGAUUUGACAGAAUCGAUGCCAGCAAUGUAAGUGAGAUUGUAAGCUCGAACGUCCGUGGUAAAACUCGUUGCGUAGGUACAUGUAUUUUACAAGUUAAUAUUCGCGUUACGUACUCAGAUUUGAAUUGAUUUCUAUGUGAAUAACUAGAAUCAAAGUACGGUAUAAAUAUAUAUAUGUGUGUGAAUGAAUUCGGUAUUUGAGGAUAAGGCAAUGAUAUAAUUGGUUAAUGUAAGUUAUCAUGUGAAAGAAUGUGGUUAAAGGUAUUAGUAUAAGCCUUAUAAAUAAUGGAAUAUGUGCUAGAAGUUUUCUUAUGUGUAUAUAUAUAUACAUACAUAUUCGGCCAAGAGAUGACCAAUUAGAAUAUUAAUAGGUGAAUUUAUGUACUCGAUUUUAAUAACAAGUUUCAAAUUUUUUGCAUUACUUAAAACUUAUUAAGCAUCAAUAUGCUUACUCUGUUGUCUUAAUCAUUUGUUUUAUAGAUCCUGCUCGUUAACUAUCGGAUUCAGGAGUUUCAAAGUCAAAGUCGUCCAUACUAUCUAAGCCCUUUCGGUACUUUUGUAGCUGAACUUUGUUAAUGGCAUGUAUAGGAUUGACUUUUGAUGUUAAUUAAGUAUCUUUUUUAUAAUGUAUAUAUGUAUAGCCAUGCGAAGAUGGCUUGUUAAAUUAUUAUAUGUAUUCCAUAUAGUUGAUGUGUAUGUGUGGUUGAUAUUCAAUUAAUGUUUUAAAAUGUUUUGAUGUGAAUUGAACUUAGGAACUAUUGGUAUAGUGUUAAAUGAAAAUUUUGUGCUUGUUUUGUAACACUCCUUAAUUCCUCCGGCGAUGGGUACGGGUUAAGGGUGUUACAAAAUACCCCCACACUUAAGCCUUUGCUUGUCCUCAAGCAAAAUCUCAAUCCCUAAAUAAGAAUCAUUCCUCUCAACUUACAACCUUUAUCAAUAAUGUUUCAAACUAAUCUACAAGUAGUCAUACAAUGAAAAUUCAAUCAAAGGAACAUUAGAGACUCAAUCACUCUAAGUUGAGAAUUUUAUCAUUGAAACAUAAGUUUUCUCCCUUCUCCUAAGUAAUUAUCUCUCCAUCUUAAUUAACAGGAGUUGACAUCCUCACUAAGGAUUCACUCUAUCCACUCGAAGUGUUUAGGGUUCAAAAAUUAAGCACUCUCUGGUCAACCUGAAAAGUUAUUACCAUAGGCUUGCUAGAAAAUCAAAUCUCCACCAUGUAGGCUGAUAUGAUACAUCGAUCAAAAGGUCUUUCAAGGGUUGUAACGGGGCUUGGUUAAGGGUGUUGUCAUAGGCUGCAAAAGAAGGUUAGAAUCGAGAUUAAACUGAAAAAUUAUCUAGCUAGAAAAAUCUCUAUCACUGGAACAUAUUUCUCAAGCUAAUUCUUAUGAUAAUAUCAACUUUGCCUUGGUAGCUUUAAACUAGAAAUAUGCAAAAACUUAUUGAACUACUAUAAAUUACAACUGAAUACAUAUGUUUUUUAUAUAUUUUUUUAUUCUGUUUUUUUAUUUUUUUUCUUCUUUUAUUUUUUUAUUUUUUUUUAUUUUUUUAAGAACAAUUCAUAAUAACUUGAAUAUUUACAACUGUACAUGCUGGAAAAGAGAACAAAGCUAGAUAAUAAUUUAAACUCAAAUCUAGACAAAAACAAGGGUCAAAGUAAUUGAAUGAAAUUCAACAAAAAAUGGGUUAUUGGUUAGUAAUUAGAAGGUAAGUCAAAGACUGGGUUGUUAGGCUCAACGGGGUUCACUAGGGGUUAAUUUGUGGAGGUAGGCCCUUUUGUGGAGUAAGUGGGUUAAAUCCUAGGUGCCUUUAUCAUUUCGGUAUAUCAAAUCAAUGAUGUGGUCUUGACAUGUAUAAUCAAAGCAAGUUCUAGAAUAACAAAUCAGUAUUGACUCACUCAAAGCAAUAAUAAAAGUGAGCACGAAAGAAUGUAUGCUCAAAAAGGCUCAAAAUCUCACCAGAAUUAUGGCUUUUGAUGUCAAUCCUGUGAAUUUCAAAUCUCAAGAUAACACUUAGAAUUAGGGAAAAUGACUUAUGCAAAAAAUUUGGGGUUUUUAAAAAUUUUAACUUAUCAUGCCUGAUACCCUAAUGUUUUAAAGUCUGAAUAAUCAGAGCACAAACACCUAUAUCUUAAUUCUCAACAUAUCAAUAAAAUCAUAAAUCAAUUAGAAUUAAUCCCUAAUAGGAGACUGAGAAUUAUUUGAGAACAAAGCAUAAUGAAAAAUUUCAGGGAUUUCACAGAUAAUGAGCUUCCCCCUCACACUUAAGAUGUACAUUGCCCUCAAUGUACAAAGAUAUGUAAAUAGCAAGAGAAGUAUAAUAUCAUAAGAUAGGGAGAGAAUUGAAACCCUGAAUUUAGGAUGAAUUUGUGAGGAAGAGUCGGCAGUUUGGGCAGGGUGUUCCCAUUUCCGUUUGAAUAUGAGCUGUAGAGCUCCUUUUUGAAACUGCGAAAAUAUUAAUUAGUCGUGGGAAUUUUCGAUUAAUAGAGAUUACUAGUUAGGGAUUGGCCGAUAUAAAAGAUAGUAAAUUAAAUAAUAGAAAUAAUAAUAAACUAAGUUCUAAGAAUACUAAUACUGUAAUGAUUAAAAGGAUUAAACAUAAAAAUAAAAUUUGAAAUAAAAAGGAAAUUAAUAAAGGAAAAAUAAAAAUAAAAAAUGAGAAAAAUAGAACCGAAUGGGAGAAUAGAGGUACAUGCCCGUGUGGCUCGGGGUUAGCCCGUGUAUUUCAAAAUUGGCGUACCUGGUUCGAAUAGCACGCCCGUGUGGAGUAGCUCGCACGGCCGUGUACGAAUGGUUUCGCUGCUCCCACAGGCGUGGGAUAUUUCACACGGUCGUUUUCAAUUUGGCAGUGUUGGCCAUGGGCGUGGGGUUUUGUGCAAGCCCGUGUUGAUACUGCAGGUUUGCCACGGCCAUGUCGCACGACCGUAGAGAAUAAUCGGUGGCCCGUAUUUUGGGAAAAAUUUGUGCUCUGUUUAUACACGGCUUUGGUACACGACCGUGCCUCUGUUGAAGUGUUCACACGGCCUCGGACACACCCGUGGGCAUGGCCGUGUGGUUCUAGUUUCCUGCAUCAAAAGUGUUAGUUGAUGUAUUAAAUGACUAAAAUAGAAGAAAAGUUACUAAGUUAGUGCUCGGGUUGCCUCCCGAGAAGCGCUUAUUUAUAGUCUAAGCUCGACUUUGUUCGAGCUAUGUGUUCACGGUGGUUUGAAGAGGUGAUACUUCUUUAUCCAGUUUAAAACUUUAUUUUCAAUGUAGGAUUUGAGUCGAGUGUAGUUUACCUUGAAAGUGCCAAGUGACUCAUGUUUUAUCUCUACUGUACCAUAGGGGAAGAUUUUCAUUACCGUGAAGUAAGGUGUGUCACUUGUGUGUUCUUUCGAAUUCAAGAUUCAAGGGUCGCCUUCCCUUAAAAUUACCUUAUCUCCCACAUUGAGUUGAUUUGUUAUUACCUGAGGGUUGUCUUGUUUAAGCUCUAGGUUGGUGUGGCAUAUUUUGGGCUUUUUGUGAUAGUUCAGCCACUCAUCUAGUUCUUCAGUCUGAAGCAUCCGCCUUUCGGGUACAUCUCCUUGGGAUGGACUUGUCUGUGAUUAGGUUGCCUUUAUGUGAGGUGUAUCCUGUACAGAAGGUUGGGUGGUGAGUUUAGUGUUUUUACAAGAACUCGUAACUAUAUUAUUAUCAGUAAUCUUAAUCGAGUUCCGAGCUUGUAAAGUAACUUUGUCAUCACUUAUACGUAGUGUAGACUCACCUAUUUCUAAAUCAAUUUUAGUUCUAGCCAUCGCUAAAAAAGGUCGCCCUAAAAUUAAGGGUAUAUUACUAUCCUCAUCAAUGUCUAAGACAACAAAAUUCACUGGGAAUAUAAAUUUAUCUACUUUUACUAAAAUAUCUUCAAUUAUACCCUUAGGAACUCUAAGGGUUUUAUCAGCCAAUUGUAUGCUCAUUCUAGUUUGCUUGGGCUUCCCAAGACCUAGUCAUUUAAACAUUGUAUAAGGCAUGACAUUUAUACUUGCCCCUAAAUCAGCUAAUGCAUUAUCAACGGUUAAACUACCAAUUAAACAAGGGAUAGUGAAACCCCCUGGAUCCUUUAGUUUGUUGGCUAGUUUGUUUUGAAGGAUAGCUGAGCACACUGCAUUCAGUUCAACAUGCGAUGAUUCGUCUAACUUUCGUUUAUUUAUCAGUAGCUGUUUCAAGAAUUUAACAGCAUUUGGCAUCUGCGAUAAAGCAUCAAGAAAUGGUAAGUUAAUGUGUAAUUUCUUUAAGAGUUUAAGAAACUAACUGAAUUGUUCGUCUGACCGGUCUUUUUUUAGUGCGUUUGGGUAUGGGGUGUGAGGCUUGUGUUCUUUGAUGUCUGACUUGUUUUUACUUGCCUCUACCCUACCUUUAUUCACCUCAGGUUCCUCGUUCAUCCUUGGGUUGUCUUUGGUUAAUGCUUCAUCAUCUAUUGUACUUACGGCAUGAAUUUGCUCUUUUGGAUUGGUCUCAGUGUUACUUGGAAGUCCACCUUGUGGUCUUUCUGAUAUUAUCUUGGCUAAUUAACCAAUUUGAUUCUCAAGCCCUUUAAUUGAUGCUUUUUGGUUCUUAAUGUUGUCUCAGUGUUCUGAAAGCGGGUUUCUGACAUGGCCAUGAAUUUGGUAAACAUCUCUUCGAGAUUCGGCUUUUUCUCCUGUUGUGGUGGCGACUGCUGAAAUAUCGGAGGAGGCUGUUGUCUUUGGUUUCCUUGUCCUCCCCAUGAAAAAUUGAGGUUAUUUCGCCAACCUGCAUUAUAUGUGUUACUAUAAGGAUUAUUUUGAGAUCUAAAAUCAUUACCCAUAUAAUUGGCUUGCUCGGUUUCUGUGCUAUGGCUAUAGAAUGGAUAGUCUGGAUUGAACAUGUUCCCUUGCGUCGUGUCACACUGCAUCACCUGUUGUGCCUGCAUAGAACAAACAAAAUUAUCAAACUUUUUAUUUAGAAGUUCUACUUGGUUAGUAAGCAUGGUGACAGCAUCAAUAUUAUAAACUCCUGCAGCUUUUGUUGGCUUUGUCCUCAUGACUUGCCACUGAUAGUUAUUCAAUGACAUUUCUUCAAUAAAUUCAUAAGCUGCUUCAGGUGUUUUAUUGUUAAUCGUUCUUCCUACAGCUGCAUCAAUCAUUUGUCGAGUUGAUGGGUUCAAACCGUUGUGGAAGGUUUGAACUUGUAGCCACAAAGGUAGUCCGUGAUGAGGGCAUCUUCUCAAAAGAUCCUUGUAUCUCUCCCAGGCAUCGUAGAGUGUUUCUAAAUCCAUCUGCACAAAGGACGAAAUAUCGUUUCGUAAUUUAGCUGUUUUAACGGGAGGAAAAUAUUUAAGUAACAAUUUUUCAAACAUCUGUUCCCAUGUAGUGAUUGAUCCUCGUGGUAAAGAAUUUAACCACUGUUUGGCUUUAUUCCUUAAAAAUAAUGGAAAUAGCCUUAGUCGAAUGGCAUCAUCAGAAACGCCAUUAAUUUUGAAAAUAUCGCACAAUUCCAAAAAGUUUGCUAAAUGUGCGUUGGGAUCUUCAUCCUGUAAACCAUCAAACUGCACAAAUUGCUGAAUCAUCUGAAUGGUGUUAGGUUUUAAUUCAAAAUUAUUAGCAGCAAUAGCAGGUCUAGUAAUACUAGUUUGAGUACCAACCAAACUAGGUUUAGCAUAAUCAUACAUAGUAUGAGGAGCUUCAUCUGGUCUUGCGGGUAAUGCUGGAGGUGGUUGAAUGUUUUGAUUUGCGUCCAUUACUUCUGUAGGUUUUGGCUCUUGUUCUGGAUAAUGUAGGCUUCGUCUAAUUUCUUUGUGGUUUCUGCGAACUGUGGCUUCUAAAUCUUCGUCAAAAAGUAGUGGUCCUGUUGGGUUGUUUCUAGUCAUAAACUAGAAAAACCUAGAUAAAUGAAAAGAAAAGAAGAUAAAAAUAAAUAAAUAAAUAAAUAAAUAAAAAUAAAUAAAUAAAUAUAAACAAAUAUAUAUAUAGUAAUGUCUAAAGUAAUAGAAAUCGAGCUUUCGUAAUAUUUUAGUUCCCUGGCAGCGGCGCCAAAAACUUGAUAUACGUGAUAUGAAGUAAUAAAAUUUAUAAAGAACUUGAUCACACCAAAACUAACUAAUAUCACGACAUUAAGGCAAGCGCACCUAUCGAACAGUAGUAUAGCUUAGUGGCAAGAACGAGUUAUCGUACCCAAGGGAACCAAAAGUACUAUUACUUACUUCCUUUCUAUUAUUUAGCCUAAAAAUAAGAUAGGGUUGUUUAAAUUAAUUCUAAAACUAAACUAAAAAAAGCACAAAGAGUGAAUUGGGAAGACUUUUAGGGAAAAGUUGAUUGAUAUGGACAAUACUCAAGGGAGAAUCCACCUAGACUUCACUUGUUAUUGGUUCUUGAGAUAGACGAUUUAUUCACUUGACUUGAUCCGUAGAGAUCCCUAAUUUAUGCUAAACCCUCCGUCGAGGUGAAGAGCAACUAGGCCUAAGCUGUUAAUUAAAGUUCCUUUAUUAAUUAACUCCCUAGGUUGCAUUAAUUCGAUCUAUGGCUCCCCAUAUUAGGUUUGACCCUAAUCCGGUAAAUGUAUGUCGCCCUAUGUCUAGGGUUGCAUGCAACUCCGCUUAAUUAUGGUAGAUCUACUCUUAUCACAGGGACUUUUGCUCCUCUGCUCUAAGCACAUCUGUUUCUUGAAUUAAUACCUAGGUUUAUUAACACAAUAAUUAAGUACACAUAAUUAAGAACAACUUAAGUAUUUAUCAUAUAACUCAAGAAUAAAUACAUGCUUGUACAGGGGACUUCUGCAUUGUACUGUACUGCUUAUACGAUAGCUUAGCUGUGUAUUAUUAUCUAAGUGGCUUAGUCCACAUACAUAGAGUGUAGGGUUGGAUAGGCUUUUCGAGGUCUUAUGUGGUGUGUUUAGUUGGAUGAGCUUAAAUAACUCUUUUGGGGUGUGAUCGAGGGACAAAAAGGUGUUUUGGCUGGAUGUGUGGGUUUUUAAUAUCUGACGGCAUUCAUACGCAUCUCUUUGAGUGUUCUGAGUGUGAGACUAUCUAACUGUUUUCUGUCUAACUGAAUAACACUUGUGACUGUGUGUUUGUACGUUACUUGGUGUGCUUGAGUUGUUAUUUUUUGUUGUCGGAUUCAAGUUUACUUUCUGACUCUGUGUAUAUCUAGUUGACUACUUUGCUGUUGGUUUGAGUUCUGUAAUUCUGUUUUUAGUAAUGUUUGAAUUCACACUGAGCUCGUGUAGCUCACCCCCUUAGUGCUUCCAUUUCAGGUAUCUUUUUGAAUUCUGAAGCUAGACUCGAUAAGCAGAGGUCUCAGAUAGUCAUGAUCUAAAAUAAAUUAACAGUUCUUCUUUUUAAUUUCUAUUUUUUUAUUCGAAUUUGAACUAUAAGGUUUUAUAAAAACGAGGGUACAAGUUCUAUUUUUUAUUUUUCUUGUAAAUCUUAUUUUGUUCAUAAAUUAUACUUAACUGCAAUUUUUCUUAUUGAAAUCUAUAGGAUUUAAUACACUUGGUCCGUAAAGAAUUAAAUAUGUUUGUAAUGGAAUUUGAAAUAACUUGUUGGUAAAAUUUUUCUAUGAUCACUUCGGUGGUCAAUAUAACCUCCGAGAUUCAGUCUAAAUUUUUAGGCCGGGUGUAGGAUGUUACAUAUUCAAUUAAAAAUCAAAAUAAAAAUUGGUUGUAAAAUUUACUCAUAAUGAAAAAUAUCAAUGAAAACAAAGUAUAGUGCUACAUUCAAUAUUUAUCUAUAAUAAGAUUGUAAAUUUAAAAAUUAACCCAAAUAUUUUUUUUGCCUCAAAACACUAACUGAUAUUAUUAAAGCACUUAGCCCAAGCAAAUUGAAAAGACAAAACACUGAACAGUAAAAUAAACGGCAGAAAAUAAACGAAACAAUUGUAAAAAAAAAGCACACCAAAUAAAGUAACAAAACAAAGCCAUCAACAAAACAAAGCAACCUGAGCCAAAGAACCUGCAGCAACCAACAUCUUAUCAGCCAGCAAGACGUUUAGCUUCUCUUUCUGAAGAAUCAAGAUUUGGGAGGAGAAGAAAACAAAGCUUUGAAUCCAAAAACGGAGGAGCGGUGAACUUUCACCAAAAUCAAAGCUAAAAUAGUAGAACCCAACAUCGACAGCGUAUCAAGAGUUCCAUUCCAAUUUGUCCUUCGUCGCCAUCGUCAUCACAGAAUUAAGUACUCCAUCAUCCUAAGCACCAUAAGCCUGUCUUCUCCGACCCUCCACCGCCAGCAUGUGAGCCGUUCUAUUGACAGAUCUGGGUACAAAAUUAAAAGAAACCUCGUCAAAACACUUUUCCAGAUAACAAAUUUGCUGCGUUAUUGGUCGAAGAACUGACCUGUCCUUUUCUUUUUUCUUAAUGUUCUUGAUGACAGUUAGUGAGUCCCCUUCCACGAUCAGGCAUCGAUAACCUCCCUCGACCACAAACAGAAGCGUCCGUUCAUAAGCCCUUGCUUCAGCCACGCAACAAUCAUUUACAUCCGUGAAUAGAUAAGUUUCUAACCCUCUAAUUCCUGCUUCCGAAUCUCUAGCUAGGACUGUCGUUGUAGCAAUUCUUGACUUAUUAUGAUAAGCUGCAUCAAAGUUUAGUUUAAAAACCCCACGAUCUAGAGGCUUCCAAGCUUCUUUACUCUUAGUUCUAUUGGUAGAACAAAUGUUCUCCUGUGACAUGUUGAGAUCUCGGCAAUAUCUAUGAACAAACCCCACUAACUCCUGCAAAUAAUACUUACGGCCUUCAUGAACUAGUUUAUUUCAUCUAUACCAGAGACCCCAAAUAGAAAUGGCCAUAACUUGUUUUUGUUGUUCAUCCGUAGCGAUAAAAGAAUGGAAGAAGUGCAGCUUGCAACACGUCAGUUCCUCAAGGGACAGAAGCUUGAUUUGCAAAUAGUCCCACACAGAUUGGAGGAUGCCAUAAGACCACAACAAAUUAUCAGAGUUUUCCCGAGCAAUUUUACACAAAGGACAGACAAUCUCAGUACAUAAGUACCUUUUCUCCAAGUUACAGAAAUGGGACAGUAAAUUAUUGAAAAGUCUCCAUAUGUGAAUUUUAAUUUUCUCUGGGAUAUGCAAAAUCCAAAGAGCCUUGUAAAAAUUCUGUUGGUAAGUUUCAUCAGGGAUAAUAGGAAAGUUUUUCUGUAACCACUCUGUAGAAAGAGCUUUAUAUCCACUUUUCACUAUAUACUCCCCAGACCCUUCAUAUUUCCAUACCAUCAUGUCCUCAGAGUUAGCUCCCAUUAGAGGAAUGGAGAUAAUACGUAUCGCUGUGUCUUCAUCAACUAAAUUAUGUAUCAGCUCAUUAUUCAAAGAUUUGUCUCAACUUCAAUCAAUUGAUUCAUACAUGUCCAGUUAGGCAGAAUCCUUUGAACUGACAAUCUGUUGUUCUCCCUUCCAGGCAACCAAAGAUCAUUCCAUAAAUUAAUAUGGGAACCGCUACCAACCCGCCACACAAGCCCAUCCGCAAUCAGUUCCCUGACACUACAAAUACUUCUCUAGGUAAAUGAAGGGUAAGACCCAAUUCUCGCUGUUAGAAUAUCCAAAGAUAGGAAAUAUCAAGCUUUUAAAACUUUAGGUAGAAGGCAACUAGGUUGAGAGAAAAUGCGCCAAACCUUUUUAGCUAAUAAUGACUUGUUAAACAAAACAAGAUUUUUAAAUCCCAUUCCACCAACACAUUUCGGACGACAUAAAAAGUCCCAAGUGCUCCAAUGAAUACCCUUCGCAGUUUUAUUAUUGGUCCACCAAAAUUUGUUCAUUAUGCCUUCGAGCUUACGACAUAAGGUCUUAGGCAUAAUAAAGCAUUGCAUAGUGUAUAUUGGGAUGGCCUAAAAGACUGACUUAAUGAAGACUUCCCUCCCCCCCCUAUAGACAAAUACCGCAAGCUCCACCCAUCAACAUGUUUUCUGAACCUAUCAACAAAAUUCGGGAAAGCCCAGGCUUUUUUCCGCCCUACCAUCAUAAGCAAACUUAGGUACUUCUCUGGGCUUGAAGCUACUCGAGCCCCAAGCAAGUUAACUAUGUUCUCCUUAACAGACGAGUCCAUGUUGGCCCCAAAAUAGAUAAGGGACUUAUCAAAAUUCACACGCUACCCAGAAAUCAUCUCAUACUCCCGAAUCACAUCACGAAUCACUCUAGCUCAUUUGCAUGAGGCAUCGCCAAAAAGGAUACUAUCAUCUGCAAAGAACAUAUGAGCAAUUGAAAGUUUUUUCUUGCCAAUCAACGCCCCUUUCAACCGUCCUUUCUGUUUGGCUUCCUUGAUAAGUGUAGAAAACCCUUCCGCACAAAUGAGAAAAAGAUAUGGGCUGAGAGAAUCCCCUUGCCUCAAAUCUCUUGAAGCCGAAAACCACUCACUGUUGGACCCAUUGAGACUGACCGAAAAAGAGACGGAGCACACACAUCUCAUAAUUAAAACAACCCAAUCAUUAUGAAAGCCCAAGUGUGUCAUCAUACCCGCCAAAAAAUCCCAUUCAACACGGUCAUACGCUUUGCUCAUAUCGAGUUUAAGCGUAAAGUUUUCGUUCUUUUCGGUUUUUCUCGUUUUAAGGGAGUGAAGGACCUCAUAAGCUACUAGUACAUUGUUGGAAAAAAGUCUGCCUAGAAUAAACGCUCCUUGAGCAUCAUCAAUACAAUGACCCAAAAUAGAACUCAUCCAUUUCACCAACGCUUUUGCCACAAUUUUAUGAACAACAUUGUAAAGACUAAUGGGGCAUAAUUGAGUCAAAUUUAUUGGUUUCUCAACCUUAGGGAUUAGAACAAUUUGGGUCUUAUUAAUGUCACCUAACUCAGAUUCGCCAUUCAAAAUUGAAAGACAAUAAGAUAAAAUAUCAGGCCCUAUUAAAUGCUAGUACCUUUGGAAAAGUAUUACAGAAAAUCCAUCAAUUUCAGGUGCAUGCAAAGGCGCCAUCGGCUUUACUACCGACUCUAUAUCUUCUGCAGUGAACUAAGUAAGAAGAUUGUCAUUCAUGUUUUUCGUAACUCUUUUCUCCACUAACUCAAAAACAUGCUCAUCAGGGCCCAUUUCAAAAGUCGAAAAAAGAUCACUAAAGAAUUCAAAAGCAAGUUUUAGCAUUGCAUCAUUCGAGGAAAUUCUCCUACCAUUCUUAUUAUCAAGCUCAGAAAUUCUACCCCGCAUUUGACGUUGCACAGCUAUAUUGUGAAAAUAGCUAGUAUUUCGGUCUCCAUUCUUAAGCCAAUUGACAUGGGCUCGUUGCUCCCAAAACAAUUAUUCCUUGUCUGCCUCCAAAUUAAGUCCUAGUUGGAGAUCAAAAAUUUCUGCUAAAAUCUCGUCAAAGAGGUCCUGGUUAUACAGGAAAUUUAAUCUAUCUUCUAAAUCUGCACAGACUUUGCUUUCCUCUUUUUUUUUUUACUCCAACACUGAAUCUGAUAGCUCAAACUUUGAAGCUUAACCAGAAUGCUUCCUGAACAUUCAGUCCACCAUUUUUCGACUAAUCCUUCAAAAGAAGUAUCCAAACACCACUUAGCCUCGAAUCUAAAAGCCUUAUCAAUGAAGCGCUGAUCCUUCUUGCCUUUCCCCACGGUAUCCAAGAGAAUAGGGCAGUGGUCAGAGAAGGAGUGACUCAAAUGUUCAAUCUAAUAGCAAGGGAAAAGAUUGACCCAGUCCAACGAAGUAACCCCACGAUCCAGACGUUCCCUAAUGUUAUUACUUGAAAAUUUUCCUCUCCCAAGUGAACCAGCGACCAAUAUAACCCAGAUCAUUACGAUUACAAUCCUCCAGUGUUAGUCGAAAAGCAUCCAUUUGACGUUCUGAUCUGAGACGACCACAUUUCUUCUCAAAAGAGCUGACAAUCUCAUUAAAAUUUCCAAGAACGACCCAAUGAAUAGCUUGAUCAUGACUUAAGU
rnacentral:lncRNA from 1 species